rnacentral:lncRNA from 1 species
UAUUUGAACCUCAACUUUGAAAGCUCGCUUCUUUUAGAAGUCAUAGAACAUAUGUACCAUUUAAUCCGACUUCCAACUUCGGGCAUGGGUACACAAAUAAAAUUCCAGGCAAACACAUGUAUCUUACGUAACAUAAUACACUUUUAUGUGAAAUGCUCCAGGUAAUUAAUCAUACUCGACAUUAUCGGGGUUGUUUAUUUACUAUUGCUUGCUAUUAUAGUUUAGUUUGGGGAAAUAUUACCUAAAAUUAUCAACUAGCAAAAAAGAAAACAUUCUAUAAGUUAUAACCGAAGUAAAGAAAAUGCUGUAUUGGGUGCAAAAGGAGGGAAAAAGAGGCUAAAUAUGACAGAAAGUAACUUGGAGAAAAAGACUUAGAUUUAGCUUUUUCUUUAUAUGCUUAUGACUCAGUUCAUCAUUCAACAUUCACAACAACAACCCUCUUUUAUGCACAAGAGAUACCAAACACUACACAUCAAAGGGAAGAACCUAACGGCAUCCUCUCCUUGAACCUCGCAUAUGCUACAACCAGAACUUUAACCAGAUUGGACUCGAGCUUGAGUAGAGAUCGAUCAGCUUGGUAGAGCUUGGAAUUUAACUCCUUCUUAGUCUACCAAAUGGAAUACUGAACACCUAAAUAAAAGUAAAAGAACUUAACCAGAUUACACCUCAACAGUACCUUUUGACUGUUGAUUGUUUUCUGUUGCUUUCUUUGAAAGCUCAUUCAUAGUUUAUAGUAGUUAUAUUUAAUUUUAGGGUUACUUAGGCUGAGGGCAUUCUUUUUGACAAACCCUUCAAGACCUCAUUCCCACAUGAUACUCCUUCUAAUAUUUGUCAUUUGUCUUCACAACAUCAAAAUUUGCAUUAGAGUUCUCCUCCUCUUCGUCAUAAGCUGUAAACAAAAAACAAAUGAAAACGGGAAAUGGUUCAGUUCAAAUAGCAUCAGAUCCUAACUCAACAAUCACCAAUUCGCCAACACAUUCGUUAUAUCUCUAGCUUCAUUGAUACUUUGGUUUUAACGUUUUAAACCAAAAAUCCAACACCUUUUAUAAGAAAAUUGGCCAUAGUUUGUUUCAUAGUGAAGAUUGAGACAUCUGGUCUAACUUUCCCAGUCCAAAUCCACAAUAUUCAACAGCAGAUGCCAUAACUUACCUACUAUCUUCUUUAUUUAAGACAUAAUCUCCUUCUUGUUCUUUCUUUGUCCUGUGGAAGUUUUUCCAUUCAGCCGCCCAAAAGAUACCAAAGAAGACUAAAAAGUUGUAUCCAAAUUUAACAAUUAAAUACUAAUACAAUGGGGGGAACUUUUUCUUUAGGUUGUUAAUUGUUAUCCAAGACUUGUGAGCGUAUGAAUAUGCGACAAAGAAAGAAAGAAUAAAAUUUUCAAGAUUUUCCACAAUAUCUAAGCAUUGAUUCAUAGCAUGUUUAUAGAAAAUGGUUACACAUGACAGUUCACAAUUACUAGUUUAAGAGAAGUUCACAUAAAGUUGGUGAAAACAUAACUAUCUUCACAUAUUGAACAGCUCCAAUUCACCUAAUAUGCUCAGCAAUUUAAAAUAUCUAGUCUAGAUAGAUUCUAAAAAUGUCUCAUCACCAUAAAAGGGAAAAAAGAAAGCACCUUGAAAAGAUUUACCACUCAAAUUGUUCACACUUCGAGUAUCUUCAAGCUAACUUUAGUUUAGUGAUAUUACUAGUAAUACUUUCUAAAACACUAUAACAGCCGUCAAUCUCAAAUCACCAAUUCUACCAAGUAAAUUCACCAAAACUUAACUGAAAAAAAUCACAAAAAGGGAAAGAAGAGAACUUACCAAGAAAAAGAAGUUUUAGUCCUUAAAAAUGACGGAAUCCGCCAUUUCCAUCAACAAUUUCAAGCUAUCCGGAGAGAAUUUUCUUGCAAACAUGUAAGGAUACGUUGAAUUCGACUCUCUGAGCUUGUAAAUCAGCUCAGGGGAAACUUCAGGUGGCUGAUAAGUAUGGGGAUGUCCACCAACUGAGUCAGUCCAAUUCACCCGAGUCAAUGUGUGCCGAGUACAGCCAUUAGGAUCCUCCAUUGAUAACAAAGUAGGAAAAUAGUGUUCUUCAGGAUAACAAGACUGGAUUUUUACACAAGGUUUCUUAAAUUUCCUCCAUAGCUUACUAUCCUUGAUCACCAUCAAUGAAUGUUUUCUUGUAAUAACAAAAAACUGUGACCCAACACGGAAUUUAUCAAAACUCACUUCUGGUUCCAUCACAUUUUCCCCUCUAGCAUUAUACCUAUCUAAUAACGAAGGAGAUUCCGUAAGAAUCUCUAUAUAACUAGGGAACUCCAUCUUCCUAGAUAAUUUCUGGGUAUCCAACAGAAAAUUGUAGAAGUAAUUAAACGAGUGCAAAGGUAUACAAUGCUGAGAGAUAAGAGCAAAAUAAACAUUAUCUGGGUCAUCAAGCAAAGCGUGAGCUAGAAGGCGACGCGUGGCUGAGAUAAGUGUCGGUGAUGAGCGUUGAGUUCUCUUGGCAUGUAUAAAUCUGUCGGCGAAAACACCCACCGGAGGAUUAAUCUUCACUGUAGGAUCAGCGUGAAUGUAGAUAUUAUAGAGAUGUGGAUCAGACGCAUAGAAGAACUUGUGCCACAAGGGUUCAAAGUGCAAAUCUGAAUUCGUUAAAAAGAGAAAAGCGAUUUUAGGGCGGCGAACGGUGGUGGAACCGAGACGGAAUUUGUUGGAAGGGUGUUUCCUGGAUGGUUUUUUGAGAAAAGUAGCAUCGGCGGCGAUGGCUUUGUGAAAAAGGGAAAGAUCGUCGAGUUCAUCAGGGAGAGAAAUGGGUAUUUGUCGUUGCGGAAGAAUUGACGGUGCUAAGUAAAAGAUGAUUGGGAUAGAGAUGAGAAGUGUAAGAGAUGGGACAAGGAUGUAGUAUUUGAACAUUGUUGAAGAAAAAGCACAAAAGGGGAAAUGGGUUUAGAGUGAAAGUACCAUUGAAAGGAGCUUAAAAAUGGGGAGAAGAAGAAAGGGGGUUUGGGGAUUAGGGUUUGGGGGAGAGAUUAGAGGUGAAGAUGAAGAAGUGAGCAUUUGGAUUGAGAUUUGAGAAGAGAGAGAUGGAGGAGAUAAUGGUGAAAUAGCUUUGCUUGAAUAGAGUUAAGUAGAGAAGUUGUGGGGGAGGGGGGGAGGUUAGGUAUGGUGGGUUGGGUGGGGGUGGGGUGUACUGUGGGUCCUUUCUUAUUUAUUUUUCCGGUUAUUUGACGUAAAGGACUAUAUCAUUUACACCAACUUGAUAUUAAUAAAUACUAUGGUAUAUGGUCCAUAGCUACUAAUUUUAAUUUUACUACAAUAUUUAAUUUAAUUAUAUGAAAUUUUUUAUGGUAGUCCAAAUUAGCCAUUAAAUUUUUAAAUAAUUAUUUUUGGAACUUACGUAACAUAAAAAGGUAUAUCUGGGUUAUUUAUAAAAUGGUAAAGAUAUAUCUCGAUCAUUUUUAAGGUCAAAUUAAAGAAAUUACAUAUUUUUUAAGAUAAAAUUAUAAUCUAUCAUUUAAAAGUUUAUAAGUAUUGAAAUCUCUCAAACGGAUACAAUAAUAUAAGUGUUAAUAUAUUAAAAAGAGGUCGGAUACAUUAAUGAUCAUAAAAUCAAAGCACUAAUACAUCAAAAAGAGGGUCAUAUACAUUAAUUGAGAAUCCGAAUACAUUAAUGGACAAAAAAUCACAGUGUUAAUACUUUAAAAAGAGAGUCAACUACUUUAAUAACAUUUUUUACUUAAGAGAAAAAUAAAAAAUUUUACAAAUUUGUAAAACUUAUAAAGAAUAGUGAUAAAUAGUAAAUUAAAAGAUAAAAACUUUGUUUUUAUCAGAAAGUAUUCUAUUUUUAGGAAUUUAAGAAUGAACUCACACUUACGUGAAACUAUUCUCCUCUGCCUAAAUGCAACCUUGUCUACAAUUGAAUAUAUUACAUGAAUAUUUAGGACAUUUUAUGCUAUUUUUAUGCUUUAAAUCUUUGAUAAUAUUUUAUAUGAGUUAAACUGCAAAGGAAUUUGUAAGGCUAGUAAACUACUUUAACUUGUUAAGCAUUGAAAUAAAAGAGAUUCAAAUUUAGUGAAUAUCGAAUGAAAAAUAAAAUAAAUAUAAAUAAAAUAAUACAAUAAAUAAAAAUUUAUAUAAAUCUAAAUAAUGUUACGUUAAAGAAAGUUAAAAUUAAAAUACACCGUUAAAAAAAUCAGUAAAACAGUAAUUCUUUUAAUUUGUCGGAACAAAAACAUGUUAGUAGUAUGUAAUUACUUCUUUAGUAUUAUGCUGAUUGAAAUUAAGAAAUACUUUAAAUUAGACAAGAUCUUGCAGCAUGGUUUAAUAUUAUAUUUUAUAUUUGAUCAAUUAUAAAGUAUAAAUCAGGAAUAACGCAUCAUUACAUGCUACUAUUAUUUUAAUCCAUGGCAAUUAAAUUUCCAUUUUCAUGUCUUGUAAGGUAUGUGAUGACAAACUUAAUUAAUAUAGUAUAGUAUUAGGUCAUCCAAUAAGCAAUCUUCAAGUUGUUUAAUGUUAAUUAUCAUAAAUUAAAGAUGUUUCAUUGACAUAACCUAAUUAAUAUAAUCCUAUAUAAAGAUUAGUGCAGACGCCACGGGUUUACCCUUAUCUAACCAAAAUGCCAAAUUAUGUGCAUCACCUAUAAGUCCUACAUAUUUGUAUUUUUUAAAUCGAAUGAUUAUAAUAGAGUGAUAAAGAUGUUUUCGUUUUUAACUAGAAUUUUCUGUUCGAAUAUUAAAUAUAAAAUAUAAAAUAUAUCUCAUAAGAAAUGUUUUACUUUUAAAAUUAUUAUUAUUAUGAUAAAAAUCACGAUUAAUUGAACCUGAAUGAAAUUUUAUUUAAAAUAUACUCUUGGCUACAUUCUUAUUAUUUUAUAAUUUAUUUUUGUUUGGUUAGGAUGGGGCUAACAAAAGUGAGCAAGGAAAAGUAAAAGAAGGAUGCUCUUUUAUGAAAUUAGAACCCUACAUUUUAAGCUAAAGAGUGCUAUUAAAAAUCACAACAAACCCAUUAAUUUCUUUUUCAACUAAGCAAAAUCCUAGCUUUUACCUUUGGUUUAUUUAUUAAUAAUAAGUAAAAUAAAACUUAUGAUGUAACGUUUUUUGAAAAUAAAUCUACAUUUAAAAGUGGUUUAGGUCUCCCAACCACCUUUCCAAAAUACAAAAAAUAAAGAUAGGUGACUAAUGUAUGCAUCUGCAUUUUGUUUUUUCAAAAACAUUUAUACAUUUGAUUGUGACAUAUCAUUACCCGCUCCAAUAUUUGUUGGAGUAAAGAGAAAAGCGGGGACGCCAUCGAUAUAAUAUUGACGAUCUUAUAAAAUAAAAUAAUAUAAUCAAGUAAAAAUAAAUUUAACUUGUUCUCAUUUCUAUUAUGAAUUAUGAGUUAAUUUUACGCAAAUAUUACUUUUUUUAAUCAUCAUUUAGGUCUCGAUCUCACCUAAGUGAUGAUAGUUUAUCAUGUAAAAUAAAAAUAAGAUAUUUAUACAUAUCACUCUAUCUAUUGUUAUUAUUUAAAAUUUAAGAAAAUAGAUAUUUUUUCAAAAAUUCUUCUGAAUGAUGUUAAAUUUGAGUUUAGCUGGCUCAUAUAUUUGUCACCUAAAAUACUGUUAAGUUACAAUUGUUUAUUAAAUAGUUAUUUAAUGAAUAAGGUCAAAAUGAUAAAAUUAAAUAUUAUUUUGCUUCUCGUGUAUAUUUAAAAUUUAUGUUUUUACAAUCUAUUAUAAUAUUAUUUUUGUUAUUAAAAGUAACUAAAUAAAAUAAUAUUAAUUACAUUUAAAAUUCUAAAAUAUAACUAAAUAAAAACAUUUCAAUUAAAUAAUCUAUAAUAAAAAAGUGUUGUCUAUUGAUAAGGUUUGCAUAUACUUCAUUUGUAAAAAUUAAUCCGUUGAGAUGAGAACAUGCAUUCUAUCAUAUUCGAUAUUACUAUGUAGGGGUAAGAUUGAAACACUUUAUCAAACUCGAUAUUUAAUUUAUUUGUUUUAUUGUUUUUCGAGAACAUCACACGGUUAAACAAAUUUAUACUAUUUACAUAAUCAUCAUAUCUAUAGUUUGCUACAAUUACCAUUCGCGACUACCAUUGAGUGUUAAUUUCAUGAGUUGGUUUCGAGUUUAUAUAAUUCGCAACUAACAAUUCUCGUUUGAUUUGUAUUUGUAUACAAUGAGUUGUAUUUGUAUAUGACAAUGAUUUCUUUUUAUUUUUUUCAGUUUUAUCGUCAGAUACAUUUAAUCGUUUUUGUAUAUAACUUUUUAAUGUUUGUAUAAACGUGUAAUUUUUAGAUUUUGUAUAACUGUUUAAAGUUCAAAUAUUUGUAUUUGUAAAAAUUUAUUAUUUUGAGUUUCAUAAUAUUUGUAUAAUUUCAAAAUUUAUAUUACUCAAUCAUAUAAACACACACAAAUUAUAUAAACGUAUCCGUGAAUUAUACAGUAAAUAAAUUAUUGCUCUCUCGCGCUCGCAUCUCUCCUCCCUCUCCCAAUCUCAUUUGAUCUCUCCUUCCUAUCUCAUUCUCGCUCGCUUCUUUUCUUCUCUAACAUAUAGCUACGAAUAGUGAUUAGUCAGUUUAUAACUAUAGAACCUAAUUAAAUUAUUUAAAUGACUCUGCGGAAACUUCCUUAUUUUUAAAUCAAUUUUUUUAAAGAACGUCUCUUUUUAAAAUGUCGUAGUAAUAUUUAUUUUUUGAUUUUCUUAAAUUUGAUGCCAAACCAUUCAAAAACUGCAUUUUAUUUAUUUUGGGUAAAACUUAACUCAACGAUAAAUUCUGGUUAUCUUCUCUUCCUUUCCCCUUUCAUGAAAUGCCGUCGCUGUCGUCCGGUCUCGUCACCGGCGGAUUCUCCGCCGCCUCUGUCAGUUAUCUCCAUUUCCUUUGUCAUGUUUAGUCUUCUCCAUUGUCUAUUCUUCACCUUUUUCUCACAUCCCAUUUUUGUGAAACCCAAAAUCCCCCCUACCCAAUGCUUCUACCUCGUGAAGAAAAACAAGGCGAUUCGGGUCCGAAAAUGGGUCGACCCCAUCUCCUUCCUCUAUAAACCUGAGCAAUAAUGAGAGCUAGAAUACAAAGAGUGAACUACGAUAAGAAGUAUGCUUCCUUUUGUUUUUGCUGCUCAUAUAUAUUCUCCAUUUUCUUACUUUUUUGUCUAUUGUUUUUGUAGAUUGAGCUAAUCAUUUUAGGUGUAUAAGUAUGAGAUUUAGGCAGAGAAAGAAAGUGAACAACAAAAUGGUGACACCAGUGGAGCAUGUAUCUAUCCCUCAUGACCUCCCUGAGUUCUUUAAGAUUUUUCACCCUGAAAUAUGCUACCCCCAACUGGUAAUCUCUUCUUUCCCUUCUGCUAAUUGUGGAAAAAAAACUAAUGAUUCAUGUAAUAAUGUCAAAAGUUUUCAUGUAUAGAGAGAAUCAGUCUUGCAGGAAUUUGUACUUAGCUACUCAUUUGAGUGAUUGAAUCUCUGGGAAUAUGCUUUUGGAGAAAUAACUAACAGAGGAGCUUUUUCCCCCUUUCUAAAAUGCUGAUCUUUCGGGAUGAUACGCAUUAGUGCAUUUGGUUGUAUCCUGUGGCGGAACCAGGAUUUCAACUGAUUGGGCUCAAAAUAUGAAAAGUAUAACACAAAGAAGCCAAAGGGUUCAACAUAUACUAUAUACACAUAAUAAGAAACAAUUUUAACCAUGUAUAAACGAUGUAAGUUCCCAUGGAAGGGGUUCAUCCCUUGGCUCUACCUGGCUGUCUGCUAUUGACUUGUAUUAAGAUAAUUUGGAUGAAAUUAAGGAGCAUUCCACUAGUUGAACUUUAACUUACUCCAACUUUCCCGUCUGUUCUUAAUCUCUUAUACUGUAUGUAAGAGAGAAAUCUAUAUCAUGCAGCUAUGUUCUCUUAUAGUUUUUGAUUCUUGUUUGCUUGUUCACAGUUCAUAAUGGAUCCUUUAAGAUGAUUGAGGUGUAUCGAGUUUUAAUUGGAAGCGUUGAGGAAAGUAAUGUUCAAAACUAGCAAAUAAGUAUCUCGUAUUUAGACCGGUGUUUAUCAUCAUACUAAGCAAUGUAUAUUCGUAUAAUUGUGUAAAAUUACACUUUAUGCAUCUGCCAAGGGAAUGUCAAUUAGAUACUUCCUUACUGACUUCAGAGUGGACUAAUGGAAUAAUAAACGAUCUAAUGGUGGUUAAGGUUCUAGAUUUAGAAGACUAUAUUGGACAUAAUCUGGCCAUCCAUUUAGAAAUUAGCUCUGGACUUAGAAUUUCUAUUUGUGUUGAAAGCUUUUCUGUCUUAUUGUAUUGUUUAUAUUGCAUUAACUUUAUUUCACCGUAAAUUAAGCGAAGUUAUGUCUCCGUCUCUUAGAGAAUUCCACCUGCCUUUAUCAAGUUUUUCAAUGGAGAUAUUCCUUCAAUAUGUGUGCUUGAAGAUCUAGCUACGAGAACUUGGAAGGUGGUUGUAGAAAAGAACGACAGUGAUUUCUUUUUCAUGGAAAGUUGGCCAGACUUUGUGUUGUAUAAUAAUUUGGAAUAUGGAGAUUUUCUAACAUUUUCAUAUGCUGGAAACUCGAAGUUUUAUGUGAAGAUAUAUGGGAAAAACGGUUGCCUAAAGGAGGAUGUAACAGCUCUCAAAGAGCCUGAGCUGCUUCCAUUGGUAGAAGAAAAAGCACGGGGUAAGUUUCUUUGGAGAUCUUCAAUUUGUAGCUAGUUUGGUGUCAACACAUUUGUCUCCAUGUUUAACCUAUAAUGGUCAACUUACAAAGUUUGGAACCGAUGCAGGAAAAAGCAUUGUAGCUGAGCCUGCUGAUCAAACAGAUAAUGGGUCGGGAGACAUGGCUUCUUCAGUCACUUCAUUUGAAAUUGUCAUUAAGGCAUCCCACUUGAACAGAGCACGCUUGGUAAGUUUACUAGUCACAAAAAUAUUUUGUGUAUGCAUAAAUCAUUAAACACAACCUAUUCUUGAAAAUGUCAUUAAUCAAAACAGCUUUACCGUCCAAAAGGUGAACAAUUUUGAGCUUUCCAAGGAAAUGCUGGUAGGAAUUUCAAGCCAGUUUUGCACUCUUAACAGUGAAGUGGGUGUUUGGCCAUAAAAAAACCAAAUGUUUUCCGGAAAAAAGUGAAUUUCUCAUGGCUAAAUGCGUCCUAACUAUCUGCGAAUCACUAAAAUCUCUUCUAAACUGAAUGUUCCAACCUCUAACAUCAUCUGAGUCUUCAGUAACACAAUUGACUUUUGUAUAGUUGUUACUGAAGAUGUAAUUAAGUCAAGUUGUGCAAUAUGUUCUCUGCAUAUGAUAUACAGAUGAUGAUUACAGGGCGUUUAACUGUAUAGUUGUUACUGAAGGUGUAAUUGUGUCAAUUGUUGUGCGAUAUCUUCUCUGCGUAUGAUAUGCAAUAGAUGAUAACAGGGCGUCUAACUAUUGUAUAGCUGUACUUUGUGUGUCUUCACAAUAACAUCAGAUAGGUAAAAUCAUAGUGGCCAAAUGGUAUUGCUUGAAUUAGUUAAAUAUACUUUGAUGGGAAAUUGUCUUCUACUUGAUGUAGAUCUUUUUAAUUCAUAGCAUUUGUUACUAAUCACUAGAUUAUUAAAUGUAUAUUUGUGUCUGAACAUGUUUUUGAAUGUAUAUACUUGUGCAGAAUUUGCCAGCUCCAUUUGGCAAUUGUUACUUGAAGAGGAAGAAGCGGCCACUUAUGGCUACUCUUCGAACUGAUAGUGGUAGCUGGACGAUUGUUCCUCAAUAUUAUGAUAGAUUGGAACUUCGGGAAGGGAUACAGAAAUUUAUAGACGACAAUGCUUUGCGCGUAAAUGAUGUUUGCCGAUUUAAGCUGAUUGAUGAUGAGAAGUUAAUACUGAAAGUUCGCAUUAAGCGUCAGCCCAAGUAAAUUAGUCAUAUCUAAGAGUAAUAUCUCGUUUUUGGACCAAAUGUUUCUGCCUGAGAAAGGCAUUAGUUGAUGUAUUAGAGCUUUUAUGUCGAUGAAUUUACAACGUUCUGUAGUAUGGUAUUAAAACUAUUAACUAUUCCCUCCGUUCCAUUUUACUUGUAUCAGAUGAAAUUAUUUGUAGUUGAAUAUUAAACGGAAAAAGGCUAAAUAUAUUCAUGACGUGUGGAAAACAGCAAACUAAUAUGUUUGAUUUAGCUAUUGGUUUAAAAAUAUCCUUUAUUGAAACAGGUUGUUUGCCCAACCUUGGGCGAACUGUAAUUUCUGUUGAAUAAUUAAACGGAAAAUGGCAACUAUUAAAACUGAUAGAGCUAGCUGACAUUCAAAAUAGAGGCAAUUCCCUUUGAUUAUUCAGCUUAGUAUUUGGUUCAAAUAUUUGUACUACUAAACAUUUUAUUGAUAAGGUCUUUGCAAAUUCAAACUUAACUAUUUUUUAAGUCCAUAUUUAGAGUAGAGCUGUCAAUACUAGCUUGCUCACUAACCAACUCAACCCGUUCUAUAAGUGAUUUGGUAGGAUUGAGUUAUAAUUUUUGAAGCUAGUUUAAAAAUGAAUCUUUUAGCCUGGUAGAAGUAAGCUUACUAACAUGUGAGGUUUGAACAAGGUAGGGUUGGUCAGCUUGUAAACAGGGGCGGAGCUACCUUCAUAUAAGGAGGUUCAUUCGAACUUUUUUAGGCGGAAAAUUAUAUUAUUUAUAUAUGGUUAAAAUAAAUUUAUAUGUGUAUAUAGUAAUAUCGAACCCACUUCGGCUAUCUAUUUCUAUAAAUUUUGGACCCCUUAUUGAAUUCUUGCUCUGCCUCUGCUUGUAAAUCAAAUAAAUAUAAUAAUACAUGAAAUGAUAUAGAGCACUUAGUGCGCGUUUGAUAAUAAAAAUUGUGAAGUAUAAGUUUUUUGCAUUGUUAGUGGACUCACUUCUGACACUGGAUUAUUUUUUCCUGAAUUAGUAAAGUCAAAUUGCUGCCUCCAUUUCAGUGGAAGUUGAUACACCUAAAUAAGCUACCAAUUAAUCAUAUUGCAAAGGUCAACUUAAAUUAAUUUUAAUUGCUUAAUAAUGAAAGUUAAUAAAGGGCAUUGUUUGAAUUUGAACUUUGGUUUGAAUUUAAGAUUGUGUACUUGGACAUUCGAAAGUAUACUUCAAUAAAAAUAUGUGAAAAUUCUAUCAAAAAAUUAUGAUGAGAUGAAUAUGAUUCUUCAAUCCUUAAUCGGUAAGUAAUGAAUUCGAUUAACAUCAAUCAUGAAUGAAAUGUUUUUUGGUGGGGAACACUUAUCGUUAAGUAAACCUUACAUGAGUAAUUUGAAUUAGUCAAACUUAAAAAAAAAACAGAAAUGAAUUUGGUGUUUUGGUGUCUAACAUUUAAUCCCAAACAUUAGGUGAAUCUAAUUAAUACAAUUACACGUUAGGAAGACAAGGGUUUAACAUUUAAGCAGGUACAUAUAUUUGAUGUCAAGGACUUGAUCUGUUGUGUAAAUGUUCAAUUUGGAGUAGUAAUUAGGAAAUAAGAGAUGUUUUCAAAGAUGAUUUGGUGAGGAAAAAGAUAUAUAUCUGCCAUAUAUAUUUCUAAGAUUAGUUUUCCUUGGAAUUUUGAUUUUGAAGUGUGUGAUUUAAUGACUUUGGAUUGUGACCUUUAAAUCAAAAUAUAGUCAAAUAUUUGGUGAAGGAUUAUUAUUAUUCUAGGGUGAAGUCCAUGAAGUAAAAAUAUCAUUCUGGUCAUAUUUUGGUCAAAAAAAAUCCGUAAAAUAUUUUAUUAUUGAAGCAGGGAUGGCAAUUUCAAUUCAUAUAAGUGAAAUAAAAUUAUUUUAUCCAUAUUAAAUUAAAUGGAUCACUCAUAUUUUUUUUCAUUUUUUAACUGGAUUAAUAUGGUCUUCAACCUAUUUAAGUUCAUACAAUAUGGACAAAAUGAGUUAACAUGAGAAUUGAUAUUCAGCCCAUAUUAAGCCCAUAUAAAUGAGAAAUAAAAUAAUUUUUUUUCUUUUUAAAAACAAAAAAAUUUAGGAGUCGGUCAAUGCCACGGAGGUUGUGGGGGGAGGGGGGGGGGGUGCUUGAGGAAGAGGGUAAAUUUCUUUUUUUUUUUUUUUGGAAAAUAAAAAAAUUUAGAGGUAGGUUGGUGGAAGAUGGGGAUGGGUAGGGGGUACCAGGGGGAGGAGGUAAUUUUUUUUAUAUUUGAAAAAUAAAAUUUUUUAGGGGUAGGUUGGUGGAGGGGGAGUAGGGGGGCAGGGGUAAAUUUUAUUUUAUUUUUUAAAAUAGAUUUUUUUUUUCCAUAACAAAAAUUUUUUAGGGGUAGGUCUGAAAGAUCGCGAGGAGGUGGUUGAAGGAGGAAUAAUUUUUUUUUUUGAAAAAUAAAUUUAUUUAAAUGGAUUAGAACCACUUUAUCCAAAUCAUAUUUGGAUGAAUUGUAAUCAAAAUCAUUUUUUCUCAAUUCAUAUUUAAUCCAUUUAAAUUCGAUUCAAUCCAACUAUUUGCUAUCUCUUUGAAAUACAAUUUUUUGACACAAAUAUAAAUUAACCAACUUCAAAAUAAAUAUCAACAACGGCUGCGGAAAAAAGAAGGAGGUAAUACGUACUGUGUUACCUAAAUAUUUCCAAACUGGCCUAGCAAAAAUUUCCCAUUAUUAAUGACUAUGAUUUGAACAUUUAAUGCUGGUAUUAAUUUGGACCGCUCGUAGUACAUCACUUGCAGAGUUAUAAUAUCUUCUUGGCAUAAUCGUAUAUGUGCAAACACCAUUUUUUAGAUGGAUAAGGCUGCAUUAAUUAUUAAAUACUAGGGAAAAUACAUAAUAAUAAUAAAAAAAAUUUCUAAAUUUGAUAGCAAAAUUCACUUUAGUACUUAAACUAUACGAUGUUUAAAUAUCCUUCUUAUUAUCUUUAAAGUGAUUUUUUUGCCACCUUGAGACUGUAACACCACUCUCACCCGCCACAUCAUAUCCAUGUAAGUGCCACAUCAUAACCAUGUAGGUACCAUGUCAUUAAUUUUUAAUUCUUUCUUACUUAUUCACUAUUUCCUAUUAAACCUUUUUAAUAUUAGUUAUAUCAAUUAAUUAAUUUAUAAAUGCAUACCCUCACCCUCUCUAUUUCAUCUUCCUUGUUGUUCACCAUUUCAACCUUCAAUACUUACUUUUCUUAUACACUAUUCAACAUUUUUCUUAAAUAACUAGAAUGAAAUUAUUCACUAUAAUAUUCACGUUAUCUUCUUCGAAUCCACCCCACACAUUUACCCUUUCAGAGGAAGAUUUUUUUUUGAAAGUCAAGACUUUAUUGUCAACUCAAAUAAGAAAUGAAGAUUACAUAAAGAAAGUUGAUAAAAAAAAUAUAAAUUCUAUGGAGGAGGAGGUGUUUCAAUGGAGAAAAAAGUGUAUUAGGGAAGACAAAAAAAUAAAAAGAAAAAAAUUAAAGAAAUUAAAAGGGACCCACUAGUUCUAUAUAUCUCUAAAUAAUUUUUUUACAUAUUUUUAAAGAAUUAAUGUAUCAAGAAUAAGUAUUUAAAAUAUUAAUUAUAUAUUAACCAAUAAAAAGAAGUCAUGUGUAGGACUUUAAAAGAUUCAAUUUUUUUUCUUUUUUCACACGCUUUAAGGAGAGUACACUCACUUUUCCUGUCAUGUCAUCCCUAAUGGGUGUUUAAAUCACUUGAAAAAUGUUAAGAGAGUAUUUAAAUGUCUGUAUAAUUUAAGGGUUAAAAUAAAUUCUGCUGUCAAGUUUAGAAUUUCUUUUUAUGUAUUUACACUAAAUACUAUGAUCUUUUUUUUAAUUUUUAUAGAGAACUAAUUUUCGACUGAUAAAUUCUUUUCCUUGCAUCACGAACACAUUCAUAUUUAUAAGGACUUCUCGAGAGACUAUAAUGUUAAUUUAUCAAAUUAAUAAUGCUUAUAAAUUGAGUCUUUCAUUAAUUAUAACUUGUAAACACUUAAUUUUGUAAGGACAUUUGGUGUGCCCUAAACUUAUAAAUGCUUAUUAUUUACUUCUUUGGCUUACAUGAAUUUCGUUUAAAUAUACAAACACAUUAUAAUAAUAACAAUAUCUUAAUUCUAUGUAAGUUAGAAACCAGCUAUAUAAAUUUUUGCCGUAUUAUUUUUUUCUUUAAGAUAAAAUAUAAUCUAAAAACGAAUCUGAGAAGUUCGUACAAGCUAUAGUACUAAUCAGCAUUCAAUAAAAAGUUGAUGAAAAAAACAUUUAAUGUUGUAGUAGAUUUAACGACACAAAGUUAAUAAAUUAUUUCACCAGAGCCUACAAAUUGUUGGUUUAAUAUAUAGUUUUGUUACAGGUUUAUUGGUAAAACUAUUCAAAGUUUACUGAGAAGAAUUAAAUACGGUAACAUAUCAGGAUAAAAAGUAAACUCUCUUUUGUUAUUUUUAAUUUGAAAUAAUCUCAUACUCAAUCAAAUCUCAAAUUCGAGCCUAGAGAGAGAAUUUUAUUAGGAACAUCACCUCAAAUAAGCUAUAGAGUGUUCGAUUUAAAUUUUAUAAAAAAUUUAAUACGUAUAACAAACGCCAAACGAAAAAUCAAGAAAAAGAACUACUCGAUCACUCCAAAAAAGUUGAAGAAGAUUUCUUUUUACUAAUUUAUUCUUAAUUAAAUGUCUUAAAAAGGAUAUUUCUUUAAAUAAGGCUAAAAAGAAAUAUGAGAGUACUUUUUUUUGAUUUUAUAACAAUAAUAACAUAUUCAAUUAAAUUUAAAAAAGACAAAUUGUAUACAAAUUUUACUAUUACCUCAUUAAGAUAAGAUAGAGCAAUCAUUUUCGACUAAUUGAUUUUGGAAGGGGUAAAAGAAUUCAAAAAUAGGUAAAACAUUAAAUGAUGUGAGCAGCUAACAUUAGUAUAUUAGCUUUAACUAGGUUAGGUUUCAGAGAAAAAUUAACUGUACCUCAGGCAACAACUACAGUUGGUCAUGUUGGACCCCUUCUUGAAAAUAAUCGUUAUACCAAUUUAAAGAUACUCUUAAUAUACAAUAAACGAUAUAAUAAUGAUUUUAACAAAAUUUCUUCUUUAAUUUAGCGAACCUUAAUAGAAAAAACUGAAUAGACUGUUGGUGGGAGAAGCAUAGAUUUGAAAAGGAAUAAUUAGUUAUCUUUUUUAUUUCCUAAACUGAAUAUUAUUCUUGACCUAAUUUAUUUGACUAAAAUGAGGUUUAAAAUCAAUGUAACGGCGGUAGUAUUAACUUUGGUUGUAUAUAAGUUAUUAAUAUUCAAUAAUGUUAGUUUGACAACUAAAAAGAUAUAAAUGAAAUCUCAAUAACAGUUGUAAAAUAUUUAUGCUAAAUUAAACAGGGUGCUUAAAAGAUAUAAAUAUGUAACAUAUAUUUAAUAUUUUUCGUAUAAUUUUUUAAUAUUUAAAAUUUUAAUUUUUAAAAUAUUGCAUUAACUUAAUCUAAUUGAGUUAUAAAAUAUACUCAAAUUGACUCUUAAAAUACACAAAAUGAAAAAUAAUAUACUUACGUCUAAAAAUUAAGUGUUACCUUAGAAAUUAAGGGUAAUGCCAAAUAGCCAGAAUUUGGCCAGAAAUUUUAAAAAAAUUAAAAUAUUUAUUUAUUUAUUAAGAAAUUAUUUUUUUAAUUAAAAGAUAUUAAAGUUAAAAAGGGUAAAAAUGUUCAAAAUGAUAAAAUAUCAUUCUGGCCAAAAUGAUUUUUCCGUUUUAUAAUCUACCUAUUGCAUUUAUUGAAUCUUUAAUGAACGUACAUUUUUCACUAAAAAUAAUAUUUAUUUUGAAAUAAAUAAAUCAUGAGUUAUCUUUUUAGGUGAAACUUUUCGAUAUGAAUUAUCAUUAGAUUUAAUGAGAAUUGGCUUAUGCUUCAUGAAAUUAAAUUUGGUUAGCCGUUAGAUUUUUAUGAGGAUUUUUAGUUCUCUAAUCUUAGUACUACACCUAGAUUUUUUAUUUUUAAAAAAUACUAAGGAGUAAUAUAUCCAACAAUAAAGCAUUGAUUGAUAGCUUUCUCAUCAUUUUUUAGUUGAAGGUAUUUACUAUAUUCUCAAAGUUCCAUCAAACUUUAUUUAAUGCAAUAUAUUAAAUUCAAGAAACUAACUCUAUUUUUCAGGCUUCAAAAUUAACUCCUCUCAUCUAAUUCUUUACCAAAUUCUUCUCUAUUUUUUCCCUCUGUUAUAAUCACACAAUUAAUUCUGCACUUAAUUUCCCUUUCUCCUACACAUUAUAUAAAUCUUGUCAAUCUUUUUCGUUUUCUCCAAACAUCUCCCUUUGCCUAUACUAAAAAAUUCAGGUAAUUUUUUUUUUUCAUGAUUAGACUUUUUCUUUUUUCUUCUUCUUCUAAAAAUGACUUUUUUCUAAUUAUUUUUGCUCUGUUUUACUAUAAAUACAGGGGAUUAUUGUCUUGUUGAUAAAGUUGUUCAAAAUGAACUACAGGAGGGAGAGUAUUCAUGAUCCAAAGCUUGAUUUGAAGCUGAAUUUAUCACCCCCUAGGGAAAAUAAUAAUAUGUUUCCAAUAUUAUCACCAAGCAGAUCAUCGUCUUCGUAUACUUCUUCAAUGGAGAGAUCACCAGCAAGUUCAUGUGUUUCAAGGGAACCAACUCCAGAUCAUCAAGAAUUUUUUGGUAGCCCUGAAGCAACAACAACUUCUAUGAUGUUAGUAGGAUGUCCAAGAUGCUUAAUGUAUGUUAUGUUAUCAGCGGAAGAUCCAAAAUGCCCCAAAUGUAAGAGCUCUGUUUUGCUUGAUUUUUUCCGCGAGGAUCGAAUCAAUAAUCCAAAGAAUUGAUGAGGAUCAUCAUGCGACGAUGGAAUCUUAAUAGUUCAGUUGGUUGACUUUCUGAAUUAUCACUUUUUGAAUUGAACUGGCACCUUAGAUAACCAAUUAGGUUUUAGUAGUAUUUAAUUUCUUUACAUAUGUUGUAAUCCUUUUUGUCUUUUUUUGUUUUUUUUUUGAGAGUUUGUUGAGGUAAUUGAAUGGAUUUGAUGAAAAUCUUGAAUGUAAUCAAAAGAGGCUAGUAUGGUUGAUAUUAUGUUCAUCAUAUUAAUUCAUUCAUGUUUUAGUAGCUCUAAGUUGCUAUCUUUACUAAAUGCAUGCAAUUAAUAUAUUGUUAUAACUAUCUUGUUAUAUUUCGGUUUAAUUAGCCAUACAAUAUUCACAAAUCAUUAACUCGAUUGAUUUAAAUUCGUAUCAAAUAUUAUUACUAUAAAUUAGGCGAAACGCUCCAUAACUCUAAGGUCGAAUUUCUUGUCAUUAAGUGUACAUGCAAGUUACAACACAUGUUAGGUGUUCAUAAUAAUUGCUUGGGAGACCUUUCACAUGGUUUUAGGUGCAAUUCAAAGAAAUUAUGCGAUUCAAAUUAGGUCAAAUUAAAGUAUUCAUUUAGAAGUUUACUCAGUGUUCAAACAUAAAAUUGAAUACGAAUUUGAAGAGGGGAAAAGAAGCAAAGCAUCAUUGACAUUAGCUUACGGUGUUCAUUUGAAAGUUUGAUUAAUUUAAUUUUUUUCAAAAAAAUCUCAUUCUUAAAAAGUAAAAUGUACUAUAUCUAAAGUCAAAUUUAAAAUCUCUAAUAAAAUAAAAAAAAAAUACUAUUCGCUGUGAUCUUUAAUGAUUGAAUGGCCGUCCUCGUGCCAAAAAGGAUCAUCAUUAAUUAGAUUAAAUACUUAUUUAAAAUUUAUGUAAUUUUAGAAUAAAGAUAAAUUACACACAUUCCACAAACGAUAUCAAUUAUCAAAUAUUUCAAAUUUUAACAUUUUAAACAUAAUUUUGAGUGUCACUAGUGGGUUUAUAAAUUAAUUGGGAGAUUAUAACGUAAAAUAUGAGUCAAUUAAUUUUAAUCGAUGAAAGUGACACAAACAGGUUCAUAUAGUUAUCGUAGUCUUAAUUACUUGCGUGGACAAGUUUUAAACUUCAACUUAUAAUUAAUUACCAAUUGUCAAAAGGGCGGCGAAUUUGUGUUUAAUAACAUCUUUAUCAAUUCAUGAACAAUAAACGGUGGGUGAGCUAAUUAGCUACAUUACCAUGUAUUGUCAUUUAAUGUAAAUCUACCAUUUUUGGAUUGUUCACAUGUGACACAUCAAAACUUCCGCAGUUGGAUUUAUUUCCUAAUUUAAUUAUAAGACUUGUAUUUCUUCACCUAUGUAGUUAUCUAUUGUUCUUAUUAGUUGGUUCUUCGUAAAGCUUGUUGAGUCUAAGUUCUUAGGCGUAACUCACACCUCAAAAGCUAAAUCAAAGGGAGGAGGAUUGUCCGAGCCUUAUAACGAGUUCACCCUAUUUCAUUAACCACCGAUGUGAAACUUUUGUCAUUCUUUAACACCCCACCUCACGCCCAGUGCUUAGCAUCUGGUGCGUGGACAAUUUUGAUUUUUGGGGACCCCAACAUCGGGUGAGACGGACCCUGCUCUGGUACCAUGUGAAAUUAGGUCUUACGCCUAACUCAUGCCCUAAAAGCUAGCUCAAAGGAAGAAAGAUUGUUCAAACCUUAUAAGAAUUACACCCAUCUCAUUAAGAUAUAAAUUAACGUAAUUAAUUUAGUUUAACUCGUAAAACACACCCCAAGCAAUGUCUAGCUUUAAUAUUUGUUUAUCUAACUCAAAUAAAAUGAAUAACCAUGGCCUAUCCUUUUAAAUUCGCACGAAUAGCACUAGGUAGUGGAUUAUAAUGACAUCAUUAAAAACAUAGCCGUUUAUUUAAAGUUGAAUUAAUAUUAAUAAAUUCACCUUCAAUUUCUUAAAUAUGAAUCUAACUACUUUGCAUUUAAAUCCUUUUUAAAAUCCUAAAAUAUAUACAUACUUGACUCUUCUUUAAAUAGAGCUCAUAAAACGGCUAUUUUUUCAAGUUGUCCCUUCAACGGCAAGUAUAGCAGCUUAAACUUUUUAAAAGCCCAUUACAGUUCUUAUCACGGCCCAACAAAGAAUACACUAUCCCCAGGGCUUCUUAGUUGGACUUGUAUUAAGUAGACAAAAGGAAAAAUUACUUAGGAUGGUAUUUUUUAAUAAAUAAUUACCGAUUUUAGCGAUAUUUUAUUUUUAUUUUUAUCAUCAUUUAUAGCAAUACUAUGUUAAAUCUGCAAUAUGUAUUAAAAAUGAAUUAUGUAUGCUAUAAAUAUGUAUUAUACCUGUUUUUAAAAAUAUAUUAUGCUUGUCUUCUAAGGAAUUGACACAUUGUAUUAUAAGUAUAUUAAAAUGUGUGAUACAUGUAUUAAUCAUCAAUAAAAUUUAUAUUAUAUGUGAAUAAUAAAUUGUUCUUUGUAAUAUGUAUUAAAAUCAUAUUAUAAAUGUAUUAAAAGUGAUCAAGUUAAAAAAAUAUUAUUGCUAUAAAUGAUAAAUAUUCUCUUAAUAUAUUAUAUUUAUGCAAGUUUCCUUUAGAUAUUAUAUGCAUAUAUUUAUCGGUAAUAGUUAAGUCAAACUAGAUGUUUUUAUGAUUUAAAAAAAAAAGAAACUAAGCGAUAUCGAAAUAUUUGAUCUCUUCAAUUCAAAAUUUUGAAUGCUUCUUGAUUUAAGUGGUAAAUACAUAAAUUGUUAUAACUAACUUACUCAAAAGUGUUUGGAAAAGGAAAAACAACAGCUAUAUGGAUAAUAUAGGGCAACUUUCGCAAAAAAAAAAUCAUAUUUGUAUGCUAAUAGCAAAGUUUGCAUAAUUGUGCUUCAUAGAAAACAUAAAAACUGUAUAAUUCGCUAUACAUAGACAGUUGAAGCAAAUUGUAUAAAACGAAGUGUAUAAAACAAGAAAGAGAAAGACAAUUGGGCAGAGAACUGUAUAAAAUGAAUUAUAUUAUUAUAAAUGUAUAGAAUGAUUAUAUACAAUUUGAAUUUGAAUAAAAUGAGAAAGAGAGAAAGACAAUAAAGACUUGACAAGGAAUAUACUAUUGAAUCGAAUUGUAUAAAACGAGAAAGAGAGAAAUUAGAUACAGUUUGAAAAUUAUAUAAAACGAGAAAGAGAGAAAGACAAAAGAAGUUGGACAGGAGAGUAUUUUUAUUGUAUAGUUAUAAGUGUAUAGGACGAAAAUAUAUGUACUUGCAUGUGUAUAUAUAAUUUUCUCACACUUUAUACAAACGGAAAUGCAAUUUAUACAUUUCUCUUCUGUUUGUAUAAGUGAGAAAGACGAGGGUGGCGAGCGAGAUCUGGAAGAGGGGAGAGAGGGGAACAAAAAUAUAUGUAUUUAUACAAUUUUCUCUGCUUUAUACAAUUAGAAACAAUUUUUAUACACUUGUGUUUGUAUAAAAAGUGAGGAAGUGAGCGAGAGAUUGGAGGUGAGUGGCGAGCGAGAUAUUUGUGAGAGAGGCGUCUGGCAAUUUUUUGCAAACGUUUGCUAUGGAGCACAAUUAAAUCAAACCCUAGCUACUCCAUUUAUAUUAGGUUAUUAGUUUGCUGUUAUACAAUUUUCCCAAUAAUAUAUAAUUAAAGGUGCAAGAUAAAUUAGCCCAUAAAAUAUAAUCCACCCAAAUCGGUUGAUUAUUUAUCCGUACAUUUAUUAAAUUAAUAUUCCCUUUGUCUUUUCGUAUGAUUUUGCUUCGUUCAACCAAUAAAAAAUAAGGAAUGUAACUCAAAUUAAUUGAUGAGAAAUCUUAUUAAAAUAUUUUAAGAUAUUUAUUUUAUUAAAUACGAUAAAGGUAUCAAUAAAAAACUAGACAAUAAAAACCAAUAAAAUUUUUAAAUAGAUUGAAAUAUGAUUCGCAUUUUUUCAACUUAUUUCAACAUAAUUUAUUUUAAUCCAAAUAAUUUACUAAUACAAAUCUAUAUUAAUCCGCUCAAAUUUAACUAAUUGUAACUCAAAUUAAUUGAUGAGAAAUCUUAUUAAAAUAUUUUAAGAUAUUUAUUUUAUUAAAUACGAUAAAGGUAUCAAUAAAAAACUAGACAAUAAAAACCAAUAAAUUUUUUAAAUAGAUUGAAAUAUGAUUCGCAUUUUUUCAACUUAUUUCAACAUAAUUUAUUUUAAUCUAAAUAAUUUACUAAUACAAAUCUAUAUUAAUCCGCUCAAAUUUAACUAAUUGUGAUCACCACUAUCAUAUUGAUGCAAUGCAGCUGGAGGAAGACUUGCGCCUCCUAAAAGCACUAAGAAUUUAAAUUCUAGACUUUAAAACAUGAUUAACAAUUGCAACAACCUAUAAACACUGCAAUUUUUUUUAGAAAAAAUUAUUAUAUCAAAGGAAGCACAAGUCCAAUUUUUUUAAAAAAUGCACAUGGGAAGGGAAGAAGUAGUAAAAGUUGUCAAAAUUGUAUUGGCAACUGUCAAGCAAGUGUCAUGAUUCAUGAACUAUAUUUAUUAUGUUACAAUCAUGUCCUACAAAAGCACACAAAAAGAUUACUGCUUUUAGUGGGCAAAAUAUCAUAUGCCAACCAUAUUAUUAAUUGUUACAAUCAUUCUACAACUAUUACAAGAAAGCCUACAUAAUAUUACUAUUACCGCCCAUUAGAUAUGGAAUUACUUUUAUCGAGGAGUGUUUUGAACUGAUUUAUGCGUGAAAUUGAAACCCAAACGAAAAUGAAUCUGAUGAUGACAUUUAGGCCUAAUUCAACCUAAAAAAUUAGCUCAUGAGGGGAGGAUUGUCCAAAUCUAUCUAAGGAAAUCAACAGUCCAUUCCUCAAUCAAUGUGGGACUUUUACCUACUAUAACGACAAAAGAAAGAGAAAUGUUACAACCAUGAACCAAGAAGUACAACUCUUCUUUAGUCAAAUUCAUCUUAAGCUACUGAGGAUAUAUUCCUUGCAUAAGAUUAACAUACAAUAUCUCAUAAAUAUAAAUGUUGGUUCUUGUUAUAUAUGAUUCACCAUAGAAAAAUAAGUACAUUUAUUUUCAUUAGGCAAGUAAAAAAUUAAACAUUCCUCUUAAUGUUAUCAUCUACUACCCCCAUUGGCCACUAGACCAUAGGCCUCAAAAGGGCAAAUCUUUGAGUGAUUAGCCUCAAUUAUGUAGAGCAAAACUACAAGAAAAAAAAAAGGUCAUUUGCACAUUUGCUGCUUGAAUCCAAACUUUUCAUUUUUGAGAUCAAAUUCAACUAAGUAAUUCUGCAUCUGAAAAUUGCCCAGAAUUAUCGAUGGACCGGUAGAUAAUUCAGGGCCAAAAGCACUAUCUGUAACCAUUGUUAAGCAAAUGACAUCAAUUUCACCUGCAAAUGAGAAGUAAUUUGCUAUUGGCAAUGUCAUCUCUGCACCACCUUUGAAAUGAAACUUUAGCUCUGGUAAAGACACUGUUUCUUGCCUGGAAAUAUUGAAACAUGGCUUCAAACCUGUUAUUAUCUCAAUACUCUCACUUCUUGGAAUACCCUUUACUUGUUUCACAAAUGCAUCAAGUACUGGUUCAAAAACACCGCGAUUCAUGAAUGUGAAAGUCGUGCCUGAAUCCACAAUGCUCCCACCAUUUCCAUUGGAAUCUGGUGUUAAAUACUUGUAUGGGAUCUUCACUUUCUUCCCUCCAACUGUAAUUUUCCUCAAACUAACAUAGUAAUACACUGACAAUGCAUUUUUUUCAGACACCACUGGAAUUUUCAGCAAUGGGGUAUAGCUUAAACCUGCAGUUUUUUCACCACUAGCAUUGAAAUCCAAAACAAGAUUGCUACUUUUACCAGUAUCAUCAAAUUUAUGUGAAACAAGGCAAUAAGAGAACUUCUUGACACCUAAUUGAUUUGGUAAUGAUGCAAGUCCCCGGCCUAAACCAGCAAUUCCAGCAGGCUGUUUUGAUGAAAACAGAGAACAACCAACGAGAAAAUUGGGAACUUUCUUGUUAGAAAGAUCGAGUGUGUCAACAAGAGCAAGACCCCCUGUUGAGCCUGAACCAUAAAGUAUAAUAUAUGGUGGACAGACCUGUUUACAAUUAGUAGGCGAUUCGCAAUCUUGGCAACGAGAUUUUGGAUUAUUGCUAUGAAUCCAACCACAUUUUGGAUUCAAACAACCAACAACUCGUGCGGAGGAUGAAGAUUUGGGAAUGAAGGUAGGAAUGGACUGUGAAGUAGCUGAAGAGACAGAGCAAUUGGUACAUAAGUACCUUGUAGUACAUGGGAACCAAACAAAGCUACUUCCAGUGUCCAUAAUGAAAGGGAUUUUCUGUGGAGGUGUACCAAAGCUAAGAGUAAUGGAGUAGCCUCCAUAGCUUUGAGGAUACAAAGGGGUUGUGGAAACAGGGGAAUCUUGAGAUUUCUUGAUGUAAUUUGCUCUUGCUAAGGAAAUGGAAGCUAAAUGUGUGAGCUUUUCAUAUAAAUCUUGAGAUGGGUGUUUUGUGUUGAAAAGUGAAAGUGGAAUGGUAGAAGUGGUAGAGUUUGAUGAAGAAAUGAAGGAAAAGAGGAGAGAAAGCAAAGAGAAAAACAGAGCAAAAGAGAGUGAAGAAGGCAUUGUGUUAGUUUUUUGGGAAAUGUGCCUUUGGACUCAAAUUAAAUAGCUCAAGUAGCUUUAGUAAGUACAAUAAUAUAGGAGACAAAGCAUCAACAUGAUUGCAGUGGAAUGUCAGUAUUUGAGAUUUUAGGUUUUGAAUUUAUUUUAUGUAAAUUUUUUUUCGUAUUAUUAUGAAUUUAGAUAAAUUUCAAUAUAAAUAUCGAUGAUAGAUCAAAAGAAUAUAAAUUUGGAGCCAGUUUUGCGGCUAACGUGACUCUACUUUCACUGUGACAUAUGAUUCUUGCACUUUAGUGUAGUUAUAAGCAAUAAGUUUCCACAAAGUGUAUAUAAUAAGGGUCGGUGGGAGGACUUUUUGGGCUAAGUUGUUCAAUCUUUAGGUAGUAACCGUUGCACAGUAUUACUUAUUUUUAUCUGUUAUUAGAAGUUUUGAGUUUGAGCUUUAAAUAUUAAGCUAUUAAUAGAAAAGUGUUUUAUUAAUAAAAUUAGAUUUUAAAUAUAUGAAUUAGUGAAAUCAAAAUAGAAGGAGACAUAAACUAAAAUAACGAACAAUUUCCUGACAUAAAUCUAGAAUAGUAAAAUCUAUAUUGAGUGAGAAACCUAAGAAAAGUACAAUAGAAGAAAAGAAGAAACGAAAAAAAUUUACAAAGUGAAAAAUCAAAACUAACAAGAUAAAAUAUUCAUAAAUGAACUACUUAUAUAAUAUCAGUAUAUAUAACUUAAAUUCACUUUUUUUAUUCAUCGAGUAAUUAGGUUGAAUCAAAAGUUCAUUUCUAUUUAUAUUUGGGUAGAAGAUUGGUCAUGAUUCAACCACCCCAUACGAUUGGGUAGAGAGAUGUGAUGAUUCUUGAUCUGAUUAUAAAGUAAUAAUAAGCAUUUGUACUAGUCGAAAAAGGGUAAAUAUUCUUAAAAACUAGGCCUACAUUGCAAUAAGAUAUUUAUAUUAUUUGACAUGAUGUAGGGUACAAUGGCAUCAUUUAUUUGAGAAGUUGCCAAAUAGAAAUCAUCAUGGUUUUCUUCCAUCACUCAACAAUAAUCAUGUUCUUUUAAUAAUAAAGGAUGUUGAAGUUUGUUUAAAGGUAUUUGGUGGGAGAUAGUUGUGAUGUAAAAAAAAAAGUUAUCCUUUUGAAAAAAAUGAAAGAAAUAAUUAAUUUAUACUUAAUUUCUAAUUUAUAUUCUUAGUAGUAUUAUCAACUAUAAUCAUUUAUUAAAAUAGUAAAUUUACUAAUUAGUAUAUUAAAAAGGUGAUAUAUUAAAUUUAUCAUUAUAUCAAUUAAAAACGUCUUAAAUUAAAUAUAGACAAAUAAAAAUGAAAUGAGAAAGUAACGUAAAAAGCCAAAAAUGAUUAUUUUAUAUUCUUGGAAGCUAAAAAGUAACUUUUUCCAUAUAUACUUUGAUAUCUCCAUCAAACACAAAUUUAAUAUAAUUUUUUUAAAAAAAAUUAAUCGAUCAAUUACAAUCAGUCACAUAUUAUAAGCUAAUUUACUAUUUUAACCAAAUCGAUAUAAAUUCCAACCAUAUAACAUGUGAAUCUUCACAUGCAUGGUGUGGAAAAGUUUUAGAUGAAUCGACAUUUCCAUAUUUUGUUAUAUAGUUAAAAAAACAUAUAUAUAGGUCCUAAAGCCACAUAUAACAUAUAUAUUGCUUUGCUAGCUGUAUGAUUGAGAAACCUCUCUUAAUCCUUCUUCAACUAUAUAUUAUAUAGACAGAAAAGCACAAUAAAUACCAAAUGCCAGCAGCGUACAACUCUUUAAAUUAAUCUUAUAGUAUAUAUAACCCUCGUUAAAAUCAUUGAUUAAUAUUUAAUAUCUACCGCUAUUUUAUCUUAAACAUAAUUACGAGCUUCAAUUAAAGAAAAAUCAUAAACUCCAACAAUAUGUUAAUAUAGGGGGCCAGUAGCCUGCUAAAGAAUGAGCAUUGAAUCGUCUUUUCUGGCAUUACCAGACAAAUUGAUACUCCUUUCGUUUUAUUUUAUACGACAACCUUUGAUUUAACGUGAAAUUUAAAAAGGAAAUAAAGCUAUAUAUUUUAAUUGAGCUAAUGAGAAAAGAAAAUAAAAACUAGAAAUCUUCUUAGUAUUGUAGUGAAAAAUUAUUUUUCACCAUACAUGUUAGUUCAAUACUGAAAAAUGAAUGACAAAAUCAUAUUUCAUAUAUAACACAUAUUUCUCAUUGAUUCGUGUUGAAAAAACCCUCAAUUUCUAACAGUGUCGACUCAAUACAAACCACAUUAACAACAUCCAAAAAAAAAAAGCAAUACCUCAAAAAGUGUGAUAUAGACAGCUAAUCUUGUGUAAGCGUUAGUUACUGCCCUAAUGUCACUAAGGGUGAUGUACACAUCCUAGUCUUGAAUUGUUUUUUUUUCUUUUUUUUUUUUUGUAACAUGAGAUUGAAAAGAAAAAUGUAUCACGUAGAUUUACGAUUUUUUAAAAUUAUAAGAGAAAAAAAGAGAACUAGAUUGGACUUUGGAGAGUGGCAAAUAAGUGUAUAUGUAUGUUUAACCAUGUGCCAUGGUGGGGAAAGCAAAGCAAAAAGGGUAGUACAAGAAAAGCUGGAUUCUUCCUGGUUUAGGUUCCUUCAUCAUCUCCACUUAAUCAAUUGAUAUCUAGUCCUUUUGGUCCACACAUGAGAUCGACUAGUACUAGUGGAACUUAUCUUUAUUUAUCAUUAUCUAUCGCUAUUAUGGCAAAUUCAGAAUUUUCAGGAAAUUCAAAAAUAAAAAUAUAGCGCAUAUAUAUAUAGAGUUUGAACUUGGGUUAAAUUUGAAGUUUUUAAAUUAUUGAAUCAUCUAAUUUUGUGUUUAGGAAUUUAAAAUGUUUAAAUAUACGUAAAGAGAUAAAUUAUAUUAUUGUACGUAUACAGUAUAGUGUUUGGGCUGCUGAGUUAAUUGAAAUUUUGGUCCACACAAAAGAGUAGUGGAGCUUGGCUUUAAUUACCAUUAUCAACUACUACUACUAUACCAUCUAACUUAUACGAUUUAUCUGCCAGGAAUUGAAGGAGCCUUAUCUUAAUCAUGUUUUUUUUUUUUAAAAAAAAUAAUUAAAAAUUAUAAGGUUAAACUUUAAAGUAAAAGUUACUGAUGUCAAUAACCUGACAAUAUAUUAAAAGCAAUAAGACUAUUUCCAAAUAGGUAUCACUCUCAUGUCAAAUAAUAGAAAAUUGUAUUACAUUUACAUGCAGAGAGAAUUUAUAUUGAUUUUUCAUAGGUAGAUUGAUUUGAUUAAAUUAAAUUUGCAUCGAGAGCGAAAAGUCUCAUUUUGAAUUAAAAAGAGAAUUUAUAUUUUUUUUAGCGCUCCGCCCCCUCGUAUAGUAAGGGCUAUUUUGGCUACUUUCUCUUAUAAGGUGACUUGACUCAGCUUUAUUUACUUGACUCAACGGCUAGAGUAUCGCUUUCAUACGGUGAGAGUCAUUAUUUCGAAUUCAAUAAUAGGCAAAACCAAUUGAAAAUCCUGAUUUUGCCAACAUGACAACAAACACGGUGUGACAGCAAAUAGUCAAUUUAGUGAUCAAAGCAUCAAUUGCUUCCACCUGUGUCCUUCUUCAACCGCCUUGACACCUUAAGGAUGAGAGGCUCUAUACUUGUCGUCCAUCACAACGUUUUGAUGGUGCAAUUAGUAUUGCAACAAAAUGGAUAUUUAGCGGUAAUGAUUUUUUAGAGACAAUUGAUAAAGAAAAUUAAUGUCAUCGCAUUUGGAAUCACUAAAGUUUUUAACAACAAUUAUAUAUAGUGUUAAUUAUAAAAAUUCAUAUUUAUUAUAUAAAAAUAUAACGGUAAUUAUUUUAUGAUGCUUGGUAGUGAAUAUAGAGACUUAAAUAUAAGCUCCUUUUUAUCCUUUUAGUUUAUUCUAUGUUGUGCCUUUUGCACUGGUUAAGCUUACUUUUCAAGCCAAUUGCAUGUUAUCUAAUUAAUUCAUUUUCACCUCAUUUACUGCAGAUAACUUUUAUAAAAUAUACAGAUAUUUUUAAGACAAACAAAAACCAUUAUGCUUUAUAUAAUUCUUAUUUAUAUUAUUAUAUAUUCAUAUAGAUUUGUUACCUUAUUAGAAUUGAUAUGAUAAAGUUUAUAGAGCUCUUUUUAUUAAAAUUAAUUCAAAUUGAGAUUUUUAAUUUAUUACUAUAAAUUAAAGUACGAUAGAAAUUUUUUCUAGUAGUAUAAAUUAAUAAUUUAAAAAAAGAAGAGGUUUGUGACAUUGGACUAAAGCAUAUAUUCUUAGUAAAGGUAGUAAGUUUUACCAACUUUAGACUAAAGCUAGAAUAUAUUCUUAAUAAAAUGAUAUUUCGAAAUUUCCUUAUGUAUACAAAUGGAACACAACAAUAAUUAAAAGAUCAUUAUUGGGAAACUCUGUAGAUUGAAAAUGUAAACAUCAAGUUUCCAGCUGCGGUUCAACAAGAAAUUUCUGGCAUUAAUUAAGUUUUUGACUUCAAAAACUAUAUGUGACGAAAAAAUUAUUCAAUAUUCCAUCCGUUUCAUUUUAUAUGUUAUUUUUUUACUUUGCACAUUAAGAAAAUGAGGUAAUUUUACCUUUCUACGCUUAUUAAGUAUUUUCUUAAAUUAACUUUAUAAUAAAUGAUAAAUACAUUUUCAAGAUUGAUUAAUUAAUUACUCUAUCAAGAUUCAAGGGUAUAAUAAAUAAAAUAUGAUAAUUUAUGCAUAAAUUUUAUAAAAUAACAAAUUUUUUGAUUCAACUAUUUAUAAAAAAAUGAUGAAAUUUAAAAUGAGACGGAGAAAGUAUUUCAAUUGACAAUUGCAUAAAUUUCAGUCUUACCAAAUAAGUCGUAUGUAUAUUCUUAUUUAGGUUAUGAAGUACAUUUUGGAACGUUUAAUCAUUAUUACAAAUAUUUUUUCCAUUUAUCACAAAUAUAAUAUUCCUUUCGUACUAUUUUAUUCGAACUCUUUCAUUUUCGGCUUAUUUUAUAAUAAAGAAUAACACUAAUUUUUAUGUAUAUAUAUUUUGACUUUCAUUUCAACAAGUUUUUUCAGCACUCCAAUUGACCUAAUAUGUUCAAAAUCAUAGAAUUCUAAAAGUAAUUUCAUAAUAUUUUCUUGUUAUAUAUUUAACUCGCAUGUCAAAAGUUUUUCUUUUCUCAAAUCAAAUAAAUAAAAUUUAUAGUAGUACAUUUUGUGUAUUAACAUUAGAAUUCAAACUCCACCCAUUUUUCAUUUCAUGUAGCUUUGAACUGUCAGAAAUCACAAUUCAAAAUUUAGUUUUGUAUGGAGUUUGAAUUGCGACAUCCAAUGCACCAAAAAGAACUUCAGGAUAAAUCCCCCUAAAUGUUCAAAUUUAAUAAAAAUUCGUGGAUUUUUUCCCCAUACUUUAGCAUUCAGAUUUUAUUUUCUGCAUUAGAAAUGAUGAAACAUUGAAUAAAAAAAUUAACUAAAGAUUGAUAUACAAAAAUUAAAAACUAUAUAAAAAGUAUUAUAAAUUGUAAUUUUUUCAUAUAUAAAUAUAUCUAAAAAUAUUAGUUAAAAUUCAUAUUAUUUGAUUCUUAAAAAAUAAAUUUAUUUACGACUAAAAAGGAACGGAGGGAGUAUGAAAAAUGGUUGAAUGGGGCUACAUUAUAAAUUAGUUAUAUAUUUUGGUUUAAUUAUUAGAAAUGAUGUAAUAGUUCAAAUGGGCUAGUUUUUAAACAUGUCCAGCCCAUUUAUAGACAAAAUUGUUUUUUGUCGUGUUACUAGCGUUUUGGGCUGUAUUGGAGUUAGGUGUAAAUGUGGAGCUUCUACGCGCCAAAUAGUAACCCCACUUCAACGGUGUUCUCUCUUAGGCGCCAAUUUCCCUUUUAAUUUAUUCUUUUCUUUUUUUUUUUUAAUUGGGAAAAGGUAGGAGUGACUUCGAUAGAAAUUAAGAAGCAAUAAAUGAGCUCGGGAUGAUUUAAACAUGUGUGGAGAAGAUGUACGGAUACCUCAUUACGACAGAGUCGUAUUGAGGAUUUUUUAAAAUGGGCGUACUAUUGUUACACUUGAGGUAUAAAUUUGGCCGGUUUGAUCUUUACGUUCUUAAUAUUGAAAUAGCUCCAACAUAUGUAGUAUACUUCUUGUCUUAAAUAUUAAUAUACACAUGUGAUUUAGUUAUAUAAAAAUUAUGUCAUGCUAUUCCUUUUUAAGGAAUUUCCAUACACACUUGAAAAUUUUGAAAAAUUAAAGAAAAAAAAAAUGAUUAAAACGCUAGAAGUGUUAUCCAUAACCAAUUGGAGGGCUAUUAUUAACAAAAAUAAGACAACUAUAAAGUUCAAAUUUUAUCUUUGGCUUGAGAGAUGCACACAAUCAUUAUCGUAUUAUUAUAUGUUAUUUUUAACAUGAUUUCGCACCUUUAUAUUUAAAGAAUUUUUUUAAAAAAAUAACAGAACUAUAUAUAAUCUAAAGAGUGAAGCAUUGAUUCACGUGAAACCGCAAAACUCCCUCUAAAUACGCCAAUGCAUUGUGGAGGUGUGAGAGGUUUAUUGUGGAUGAACUAAGAAAAGCUAGAUGAGAUCGAAUAAGUAUGAGAGAGGGGUAAUUAAACUAAAUGACACAAUUUCAACUUAUUAAAGAGAUGAGCUUAAUUAGAAAGUAUGAAGGACACAAAUUACAAGAUAGGAGGUAAGUUAGAUAGUUGAGCAUCGUUUCACUUGUUCUUCUAUACUAUUAGUCGUGGUAACUCUUGUAGGCUCUUGUCCUUUGAGUUUAAUUAAUAUCUAUGACUUUUUUACACUCUUAUUAUUGACUUGUCUUAUUAUGACUAUUGCUUAGGAUAAUUUAAUAGGUUAGCUAUACUUUUUUGUUAGAACUUUCUCCAUUUUUUCAUUUUUUUUAUAUUGCUUUGGUCGAUUUAUAUUUUCCUCAAGAAUAGUGUCUAUCAGAAACGAGUUCUUUACCUCCAAUAUAAUGAUAAGAUCGAUCGACUCUCUGAAAUUACACGAGAUAUGUUAUUUUUAUUUACAAAUUUAAUACAACUUCUCCACUCUCAAUCUUGGUACCAUUAUUACUAUUUUGGGGAGUUUAAUCACAAAAUCAUCAAUAAUUUUCUAACUUUUUAAGACUAAUGAUGAGUUGAGUUUAAUUAAAUCCCAUAAUUAAUUCUUCUUUAAAUUACCAUGUAAGUACUUGUGCUUCCCUCCAUAUACAUAUCUGAACCUUUUUGUUUCUUUGUUCCUUUCCUUUCCCUCGUUUUCUCCCCUUUCUCUCUCCGCUUAACUCAGAUCUCAUCUUCUUCCCUUUUCCCUCUGAAGAAACCCUUCAAAACCCAAGAAUUUUAGCCAAGAGGGGUUUCCAAUUCAAUUUAUUCUUGAAUUUCGUUUUCCCUCUUCUUCUUCAAUUGAAAAUAAGAAAAAAAAAUUGGGAUUUUUCUCAGCUGGGUGUGCUGGGAAAGAAGUUUAGUAAGAUCAUGCAGCCAAAUCAACAGCGGCCUUCGAAGCGUCAGCUCCCAUUUACGUCGAGUAAACCGCCGUUAGGGGACUACCACCGGUUCUCUACUGACCCACUUCAUCCUUCUUCUCAAGAGCUCGAAGGAAUCGCUGUAAAGUCUACUGUAAGUGUUCUGAUUUUUCCACACUACUGUGGGUCUUUUUUGUGAUGCAUAAUUUUUUCAUUCGAGUGAAUUGGACAAAUUUUUUAAAAUUUUAAUCUGCUGUAUGAUUUUUGCAAUAGCGAAGGGAAGUAACUGUAUUAAACUAGUGUGUGGAAAUUUUCACAAUUGUAUACAUCUGUAAUAGGGGAAUUUGGUGGAACUUCUUUCUUUUGCUCUAAGAGAACUUACAUGUCUAGCAUGCUAUCCUUCUUGAUUUAGCCUGUACUCUUUAUUAAUUUUGUUGUGAAUUCUGAACUUUGUGCCCUUUGAUUUCAGAAUUAUUUGAUCAUUGGGUCUUAUGAAUGUCAUGAUUUCCAUAAGUUGGAGAUACUAUUUUGAAAUCGAUUUAUAAAGUUGUAUUUUUGGGUACUUUUAUAACAACAACAUACUAGUGCAAUCUCACAAGUAGGGAAUGAGAAUGUAGGAUGUAUGCGAACACCCCUACCUUUUUGGGUAGAGAGUCGAUUUUUGGUAGACACUCGGCUCAAAAGUAGUUUAAUCAAAGCAAGAUUGUAAGAUAUAACAGAAAGAUGCAAAGCAAAUGAAGCAACAUGAAGUAGUAAAAAUUGAAGAAUAAGAUAUGAUGUGAAUAUUAACUAAUACUACUAAAAUAAUGAAAUGAUGAGAAAAGGAGACUAGCUUCUCCCACAUAAAAGUACGACAACACUCGGCUACCCGUUACCUUUCUACCCUAAUCCUUAACCUCUAAACCUUCCUAUACAAUGUUAUGCUCUUAGUAAGCUGAAGAUCAGCCACGUCUUGUCUAAUCACCUCCUCCGAUUCUUUUUUGGCCUGCCUCGACCUCUCCUAAAGCCUGUUAUAGCCAACCUGUCGCCCUUCCUUACUAGUACAUUUGCACAACGCCUUUUCACAUGCCCGAACCAUCUCAGUCUCACUUCCCUCAUCUUGUCCACCAUGGAGGGCAUAACCACCUUAGCUUGUAGAACUUUGUUCCUAAUCCUAUCUCACCUCCCAUUGUUAGGAUCGAAAAUAAGCAGGUGUAAAUGCGGAAGCUAGCAAAGCAAACCUCAAAAGACCACGAGUAAGAAGACAACGAGAAAUAUACCAAAAGACACAAAGAUUUAACGUGGUUCGGUCAUUCGACCUACGUUCACAAAGGAGAUGAGUAAUCCACUAUAAAUAUGAGAAUACAAGAUACAGAGAGAAACAACUUCAACCAAUUCACUCAGAAUACAUGGAGGUUCACACAAGUGAUAACGUAUUAAGCUUGUGACCCACAAAUUCUCCCCCUAACCAAAACUCUCAAAGCCCUUAAGACUACAUUGUGAAUGCUGAUUAAGUUAGAAGGAACAUAUCUCUAUUUAUAGAGUCCUAAACCUUUUCCUACCAGAAAAAGGAUUAGUCAAUCCAAAACCUUUUCUUAAAAGGAAAACCUAUUUAUGGUCAGAAAUUUAGGGCAAAUAAAACUCAACACCUAUGCCUACACAUCCACCUGAGUAUUCUCAUCUUUCCCACCUUCAUCUUUCUAACGUGCACGUAAUUGACUGGCCAAAAUUGUAUUUUCAACUACUAACCUACCUAGAUUGAUGUUAUGUUUCUUAAAUUUUGUGCCACCUUUACUUCUUGAUAGUGUGAAAUUAUGAAAGAAAAACAUGCAGCAGUAUUCAUCUUUCAACUGAAAAGGAGAUUAUAUCUUCAUAAUUAAGAAGGGGAAAGUAGAGGGGACUAGGUCAUUUGUUUAGGUUGUUCAAGAUCUGAAGCAUAAUGGAAGAGGGCUGUGAGAUUGUGAAUGAAGCUGCUCUGUACUAAAUUCUCUGUCACAAGAAUAACAGUUGCAUUAGUUGUCUUUUAUCUUUCUAUCUUAAUUUUCUUUUGUCAUAUAAAUGCACUGCAAUUGCAGUGAUCUUGUGCGAUAUUCUUUACAUGAUGUUGAAAUACUAGUAUGGCUGAAGUGUUAUCGCUUCGGACCAAUAUUAACAAAUGAAGGACCUAGAUAAGGUAGGUUUAGCAUUAGUAGCCAAAAGAGAGAAAUCGACAAGAAAAAUCAGCAGUUUUGAGGAAUCUUUACAGUAGUAGCAUAUUACAAGGCCUUGAGCUUGUGGGGUUUUAUUGUUAUGGAUCUUUUAAUGCUGCUACUGUAGACAGGUUUAUUCUGUUAUGUUAUUGAAGUAAGUCCUUUAUAAGAUUGAGGGUAAAAUUGGAUGGUUAGAUUUGUAAUAUUGAUUGAUCAUAUGACUCAGCUUGUGUAGUAUAGUGGCAGAUGCAUGCAGUUCUUGUGUGCAUCACAAAUUGAGAAAGAAAAUAGAGGAAGCAAUAGAGGAAAUAAAGGCAUAUUAACUAAUGAGCUGCAAUUUCUAGUUUUCCUUACUGUGAGAUAAGCAACUGGUUGCUUCUGGUGAAGCACGUUUGCUACUACAUGGAGAUUCAGUAUACUAGUCCUGAGCUGUUUCUCAUGCCUAGAGAGGCGAAAACAGUGUCUGUUAGGCUGAAGUCAAAUCAUGUCAUAGGUGGCAAUAGAUACUGCAAAGGACUAAGCCACUAUUUUCAUGUCGGAUGUGGUCUACUCUACCACUAACUGCCGGUCACAUGCACAACUGAUGUGGGACUUAACAUGCUGCUAAUAUUAAGUCUUUAUUAUGUUCUUUCUACAAAAUCCUCACUAGAUAUUAUAAUGAUACGACAUUACUUUGUUUUUUUUUUUAAAUGCUUGAGCAGUUUAUAUUAUCUACUUCACUUCAGACACAAUGCUUGUUAAUGAUUUUAAAAUUUAUUGCUGAUAAAAACUUGGGGAUACUCAAUUGUCUUGAUUAGCCACUAAAGCGGAAGAGUGGAACAAUAAAUUACGAACAGGGAGUUGGUGCACAGGUUUCAGGUUGUGAAAGUGUCUAUGUGAGUAGUCCAAUGCUGACACCAAUCUCAGGGAAAGCUGGAAAGUCACAGAAAGAACCUAGGGCAUCAAAGGCCAGAUCUGCUGCUCAAGCAACCUCAAGUUUAGGUAAAGACAUCCUACACGAAUUUGUCAGCAUUAGUUUAUGCAUCUCACGUUGUCAAAUAUAAGAAUCACCAUUUAUCUUACUCAAUUUGACAGAUUAGCGGUUUGGAUAACUAUAAUCUUUGUUGUGUCACCCCAUCUUAUUGUUGUUUUCCAUUUUCUCUUGAGGCACCCACCGUUUUAUAGAACACAGAGAAUUAUAGAAGAGAUAACUUCUUAAAUAUUUCAAAUUACAGGAUCCCCUUCAGGCAAUAAUGUUACUCCAGUUGGUCCUUGCCGCUAUGACAACUCCUUAGGUAAAUUAAAACUUUUAUGACUUCCGGUUACAAAUUUGUGUCUUUUAAUCUGCCUGUCCAUUGGGGUAAGAGCAUAGGUGGAGGUUGCAUUUCUGGGCUUGUGCAUUUGUAUGUUUAAAUUAGACAUUUUUCUAGAAUAUAUAUAUAUAUAUAUAUAUCAAAAUUAGUAACUAUGACUUCCUCUUUUGAUUCUAAUUCAGGUCUCUUAACAAAGAAGUUCAUUAACCUGCUCAAACAUGCAAAAGAUGGCAUUCUAGAUUUGAACAAGGCUGCUGAUACAUUAGAGGUAUCUUCUCUUUGCAGUAUAUACGGCAUAAGCCUGUAUGAUAAAUUUCUAUCAACUUACAGAUCUCUUCCCUUUAACAGGUGCAGAAAAGGCGUAUAUAUGACAUUACAAAUGUCCUGGAAGGAAUUGGUCUGAUAGAAAAGAAACUCAAAAACAUGAUCCAAUGGAAGUAUGGAAAUGCUUAUCCAAUAAAUAUAUUACAUUGAAGUUGUUUAUCAUUUACGUUCCACAUUAUUCAAGAUCAUUCAAUACACAAAAGUUACGACUCAGUUCUCUUAUUACAUAGGGGGUUAGAUGUCUCAAGACCAGGGGAAGUUGAUGAGAGUGUUACGAGUUUACAGGUUUGAAGAACUAUCUCAAUGCCUGUCUUUUUUCUUAUUUUGUUAAUUGUCAAUUGGCCCUGUCAUAAUCUGCCAAGUAGCCUGAGCAAAAGGAUUUCAAUAAUUGGUUUGUGCUGUCUUUACAGGCAGGAGUAGAAAAUUUGACGAUAGAAGAAAGUAGAUUAGAUGAACAGAUAAGGUUAUCUUCUGAUGCCUCUGAACAUAAUUCAAGAUUUCUUUGCUUCAACAUAAUGCUGACUGUGUUAAAUUUGCUCGUCUCAGAAAAAUGAAAGAAAGGUUGAGGGACCUGAGUGGAGAUGAAAAUAAUAAAAGGUACCACAUUCUUUGGCUUAAUCAUAAACCAAGUUAUUUGUGUUAUAUUUUUGUUGUGAAUGAAUCUAUCUGCUCACUUUUCCUUCGUAUUCUUGACAACUGAUCUCUUCUGAAUUUUUUUUUUUAAAAGAUGGCUUUUUGUAACUGAAGAUGAUAUAAAGAGCUUACCUUGUCUUCAGGUAAUUUUAAAACAUGCUUUUUGUUUUUUUCCUCUCAUUUCUUUGUAAUGCAGUUUCCAUCAAAUGACUAAUGCUGUGAUUUCAAUUUAUUGCUCUCAUCAGAAUGACACACUGAUAGCUAUUAAAGCUCCACAUGGCACCAGUUUAGAAGUUCCAGAUCCUGACGAGGUAACUGCUGUCUCUUUAGUACAAUUACCUUUUCUUUAUUAUUCUAACAAGUCUAUCUCAGCAAAAUUUAAGUGGCAGUUCUAUGUGUCUUAGCAUGUCUUCCUUGUUUCCAAUAGGCUGUUGAUUAUCCAGAAAGAAGAUAUAGAAUAGUGUUUCGCAGCACCAUGGGACCAAUUGAUGUUUACCUUGUCAGGUACUUAUUUACUUACUUACUUCAACUACCUAUGAAAUUGAAAAGAUUAAUAUGUUUCUAGAGGGAUGAAGUGUUUAAUAGCUUUGCAUUUUUUUAGGGCAAGAUAAACUUAGUUGAUUUUAGGAUGGUGUGUUUAAACAAUCUUUGUCUAAUUCUUUGUUUAGUAAAUUCGAGGAAAAGUUCGAAGAGAUAAAUACUGUUGAGGAACCAUCCACAAUGCCUUCAACAUCAGGUUUCAUUGAGAAUGAAACUGCAACAUUGCCUGUUGAUGAUGGCGGAGGAGUUGGUGUUGGGGUGUUGGAACAAGAAAAUCAAAGAGAGUGUCCAGAUGCUGGUACUUCCCAGGACUUUGUGAGUGGAAUUACGAAGAUUAUUCCUGAUGUUGAUGUAAGCUCUUAUUUUCAAGCCUUUAUAAAAUUGAAUGAUUAGAGUGUUUUAGAAGCAAAAAAUGAGGGAAAAGAGACUACUUCAGCGUAGUGCAUUUUAUCAUAAAUAAGUAGGUAUUUCAUAGAAACUUCCAAUGCAGUUUGGUUUUUUCAGUUACUUAUUUUUUCUUCGGUCCUGCAGAAUGAAGCAGAUUACUGGCUGUUGUCAGAUGCCGAUGUUAGUAUCACUGACAUGUGGACAGAAUGUAUCCUACUAAUUCCAUUCCGUUAUUUUUUAUUUCUUGCUAUCAAUGAAAUUUAUCCCUAGAAUAUCGAAUCCAUGACUCAAAGUUAGCUGCUCUUAACUGGAACGCUUUGGAUGCAAUUAAUGAGGAUUAUUCAAUUGCGGAUGUUAGUACUCCACGUGCCCAAACUCCCCCAUCCAGUACCAUUGAAGUACCUUCUGGGAAAUCUACUGGAAGCUGAGUAAUAUUUCCUGGCAUUUCUGUGGAUGCUCAGGCUUAGUUUUCGGAGUAGUGCUUGACCUUGGUGUUCAAAAUGAUAAAUUCUCCAUUAGCAAAUCUGUAUAAUAAAAGUUCUACAUUGAAUUAAUUCAUACUCUGUAUAGCCCCUUGAAUGACCUAAACGUAAGAACAAGUGCUUCCAGGAGCUUUUUGUAAAAUGCUCUGUCAGGAAGUUGGCAGUUUGAGUCCCAAGGAAAUGAGCUCCAUUGUACAGUUAGUAUAUAUAUCAUUGUACUUGUAGUGGCAAUAAUCAGAUGGUUAAACUGCUGUCAAAAUUUCUGUGUAUUGUUUAAUAUCUUGUUCUCUAUGGUUUUAGCUUUGAAAUCUGAUACUGAUGUAAAGUAAAUUUGAUUUAGUACACUGCUGUGCUGUAGUGGUGGCUUGUUUGUCCCACUUAAAUUCAGUACAAUUUGUCCAUUCACAUACUAACUAAUGAGCUGCAAUGUUCUAUUACAUUAUCUCGCCUUACUGGGAGAUUAGAAAGUGGUUGCUUCUGGCGAAGCGAAUGUGGUCUACUCCACCAAUAACUGGUCAAAUACCAAAUGCAUAUAAGGAGAAUUGAUCAUCCCAACUCCAUAUAAGGAUUCCAUAAUUUCCUUAUCCCACUGAUGUGGGACUUAGCAUGCUGCUAAUAUCAAGUGUUUAUUAUGUUAUAUCUACAAAAUCCUCGUUAGAUCUUUUGGUGAUUCGACAUGACUUUGUUUAUUUAAAUGCUGAUCAAUGUAGUUGAGCAGUUUAUAGUAUCUACUUAUCUUCACAUUCUUGUUUUAAAGAUUUUUAAAUUUAUUGCUGAUAAGAACUUGGGGAUACUCAAUUGUCUUGAUUAGCCACUGAAACGGAAGAGUGAAACAGCAAAUUAUGAACAGGGAGUUGGUGCACAGAUUGCAGGUUGUGGAAAUGCCAAUGUGAGUAGUUCAAUGCAGACACCAAUCUCAGGGAAAGCUGGAAAGUCACAGAAAGCACCUAAAUCUUCUGCUCAAGCAACCUCAAGUUUAGGUAAGGAUAUCCUACAAGAAGUUUUGUCAGCAUUAGUUUAUGCAUCUCAUAUCAUCACUAUAAGAUUCACCAUUUUAUCUUACUCAAUUUGACAGAUCAGCGGUUUGGAUAAUCUUUACUGUGUCACCCAUCUUAUCGUUUUUCAUUUUCUCAGAGGCACCCACCAUUUUAUUGAACACAUUUUAUUACAGAAAGAGUCAACUUCUUAAAUAUUUCAAAUUACAGGAUCCCAUUCAGGCAAUAAUGUUACUCCAGUAGGUCCUUGCUGCUAUGACAACUCCUUGGGUAAAAUUUGUAUGACUUUCAGUUACUACUUUGUGUCUUUUAUUCUCUCUGUCCUUGGGCUAUGAAAUAGGUGGAGGUUGCACUUCUGUGCUUGUGCAAUUGUAUGUUAUAGGACAUUUUUCUUGAAUUACUUGUUGUACUGGAUAAUAUAAACCAGAAUUAGUAACUAUGGCUUCCUCUCUUGAUUCUCAUUCAGGUUUCUUAACGAAGAAGUUCAUUAACCUGAUCAAACAUUCUGAAGAUGGAGUUCUAGAUCUGAACAAGGCUGCUGAUACAUUAGAGGUUUCUUCAUUACGCAGUAGAUACUACAUAAGCCGGUAUGAUGAAAUUCUAUCAGCUUACUACAGAUUUCCUCUUUUUAACAGGUGAAGAAAAGGCGUCUAUAUGACGUCACAAGCGUCCUGGAAGGCAUUGGUCUGAUAGAAAAGAAAUCCCUAAACAUGAUACAAUGGGAGUAUGGAAAUGCUUAUACAAUAAACUUUUUACAUUGAAGUUUGUCAUUUAAGUUCCAUUUUGUUCAAGAUUAUUCGAUAAAAAAAAGUUACGACUCAAUUCUCUUAUUACAUAGGGGGUUAGAUGUCUCAAGACCAGGGGAUGUUGAUGAGAGUGUUACAAGUUUACAGGUUUGAAGACCUAUCUCAUUGCCUGUCUUUUUCUUAUUCUCUUAAUUGCCAAUUGGCCCUUUUCUAAUCUAUCAAGUAGCCUGAGCAAAAAAGGGUUUCAAUAAUUGGUUUGUGCUUCCUUUACAGGCAGAAGUAGAAAAUUUGACGAUUGAAGAAAGUAUAUUAGAUGAGCAGAUAAGGUUAUCUUCUGAUGCCUCUGAUAAAAUAUUCAAUAUUUCCUUGCUUCAACAUUAUGCUGAUACUGUGUUAAAUUGGCUUGUCUCAGAGAAAAGCAAGAAAGGUUGAGGGUCCUGAGUGAAGAUGAAAAUAAUCAAAGGUACCACAUUCUUUGUCUUAAUGAUGAACCGAGUUGUUUGUUAGUUUAUUUACCUGGCACUUUUUUGCCAAUGUAAACAGUGUGGAUAACCUUUCGGAUUUUGUUAGUUCCCUAUCUCUAGUACAGUAGAGUAGUAGGGUUCCCUAUUGACUGUUUCACAAGUUUUUGCCUAGCUAGCUCCAUAUUUUCUGUUUGGAGCAGCUUUUUUGCACAAUGUGCUUUUGUAACUUCGCAUCUUGAUGCUUUCUAAUAUCAUUUAAUUACUUUAUCAAAAAAAAAUUAUGAACCCAGUUGUUUGUUGUUAAUGGAUCUAUCUGCUCACUUUUCCUUUCACAUUCUUGACUACUGAUCUCUUCUAAAUUUUCUUUUUAAAAGAUGGCUUUUUGUAACUGAAGAUGAUAUAAAGAGCUUACCUUGUCUUCAGGUAAUUUUGAAACAGAUGCUUUUUUUUUUUUUUUGAUUUCUUUGUAAUGCAAUUUUCAUCAAAUGACUAAUGCUCUGAUUUCAAUUUAUUGCUCUCAUCAGAAUUACACACUGAUAGCUAUUAGAUUUCUACAUGGCACUAGUUUAGAAGUUCCAGAUCCUAACGAGGUAAAUGCUUACUUUUUAGUACCAAAUCCUUUUCUUUAUCAUUGUAACAAGUUUACCAGUUCUUUAACUGGUAUCUCAGUAAAAUUUAGUAAAAAUUUAAGGAAUCCCAUAGUGUAAUUCAAUAAUUACAUUUUGUCCCGAUAAAAUUAGUAUUUACAAAAAAUCCCUUAAAUUUGUUGUUUCGUGAUACUUUAGACUCUAGUGAUACAUGGUAAAUGAUACAUGGUAAGUUUAAACUGUUGAGAAAAAAAUUGAGAAAAAACGGUACAAUUAAUGUUGUUACUAAAACAACUUAAUUUAAGGUAACAGAUCAUUAAUCACCAUAAAAUCAGCACGUAAUUGGAUAACAUUCUCCCCUAUGUAUAAGGUAACAUAUCAUUAAACAUUUGGAUAAUAUUCUCCCCUAUAUAUUUUUCAAAGUCCUUUAGGAAAUUGUUGUUAAAAUUGUCAGCAAACCUUAUGAGAUGUGUUGAUAUCUUUUUAAUCUUGUACUUCAGUGGCUGCAAUUUGAAAAUAAAACAACAAAUUAUAAUGAUAUUGAAAUAUAAAUACUAAAUAAAACAACUAAUAACUUACUGAUACAUGGUUUCAGUUUUCAGAAAUUCAUACUACAUGAAAAACAUGUGAUACAUGUCUACUACAUGUAUCAGUGAAUUAACUAAAACAUUAUAACAUGUGAUACAUAUCUAAUACAUGUAUCAGAAACAUCGCCUAAACAAUAUACACAUUGAUUCUAUAUGUAUCAUCAAGUACAGUGGAUGAAACAUUUAUUAAACUUAGUGAAUGAUACAUUAUAACAAUUUUCAAAACAUGUAUCAGUUCAUCUGCUUGCCUCCAAGAACAAGAAGAUUACCAAAUUCAUCUGCUUUUUGAUUGUUCGUUUAAUCUUUCCUCUGAUUGGAAUUUGUUUCUUCGGUAACUGAACUUGGGGGUUUAGGGUUUUUAUUUUUGGGAGUUGUUAAGCAUGUGGGUUUACGUUGAAGUUGCAAUGGCGGAGUAAGUAAUCUUUAAGAGAAGGAAGAUGAUUAUGGAAAAAAAAAAGAACUGAAACUUGAUGGAGUAAGAACAAAACGGGAGAAGUUAAGAGAAGUUGUUCUGAUUUUUGAAAUUUCAAAAUUUUUGAAUUUUGAAAUUCAAAAUUUCAAAAUUGGGUCUUUUAUUUAAAAUUAAUUAAAAUUAAUAAUUCAAAAUCAAAAAACUGAUUUAAAAGGUUGAGUGUUUAAAUGGAGAAAAUUCAAAAUCCAAAAACUGAUUUAAAAGAACAAAACGGGAGAAGUUAAGAGAAGUUGUUCUGAUUUUUGAAAUUUCAAAAUUUUUGAAUUUUGAAAUUCAAAAUUUCAAAAUUGGGUCUUUUAUUUAAAAUUAAUUAAAAUUAAUAAUUCAAAAUCAAAAAACUAAUUUAAAAGGUUGAGUGUUUAAAUGGAGAAAAUUCAAAAUCCAAAAACUGAUUUAAAAGGUUGAGUGUUUUAAUCGAGAAAAAAUAGGCAUUAAAAUGGAUAAUUGUGUAUUAUAGGAGAGAGAAUGUAAUGUAUCUAUAAACUUACACUAAAAUUAAAAAAAAGAGAAUUAUGUAAUAUUUAAAAAAAGAAGGGAAAAUUAGAGAAUAUAAAACUUAUAGUUGUGUAUUUAAGUUAUUUUUCCUAAAAUGUAAGAAACAGUUUUAUGUGUCUUAGCAUGUCUUCUUUGUUUCUAAUAGGCUGUUGAUUAUCCACAAAGAAGAUACAGUAUAGUGAUUCGCAGCACCAUGGGACCAAUUGAUGUUUACCUAAUCAGGUACUUAUCUUUCUUCAACUACUAUGAAACUGAAAAGAUUAAUAUGUUGCUAGAGAGGAUGGAGUAUUUAAUAGCUUUGCAUUUUUUAAGGGCAAGAUAAACUUAAUCGAUUGAAGGAUGGAUUGUUUAAACAAUCUUUAUCUAAUUCUUUGUUUAGUAAAUUCGAGGAGAAGUUCAAACAGAUAACUACUGUUGAGGAACCCUCAACCAUGCCUUCAACAUCAGGAUUCAUUGAGAAAGAAACUGCAGCAUUGCCUGUUGAUGAUGGCAGAGGAGUUGGUGUCGCGAUGGAAGAACAAGAAAACCAAAGGGAGUGUCCAGAUGCUGGUACUUCCCAGAACCCUGUGAGUGGAAUUAUAAAGAUAGUUCCCGAUUUUGAUGUAAGUUUUUAUUUUCAAGCCUUCAAGAAACUGAAUAAUUGUUGACUGUUUUUCGAAGAAAAGAAUGAGGAAGAAGAGACUAAUUCAACAUAGUGCUUUUCAUAGAAACAUCCAAUGCAGUUCUUUUUUCUUUCAGUUAAUUUUUUUCUUCAGCCCUGCAGAAUCAAGAAGAAGAUUACUUGUUUUUGUCAGAUGCCAAUGUUAGUAACACUGACAUGUGGACAGAGUGUAUCCUACUAGUCUUGUUCGGUUUUUCUUUACUUGUUGCUACCGAUGAAAGUUAUCCCUUGAAUAUAGAAUCCAUGACUCAAAGUUAGCUGUUCGUGAUGCGUUGGACUCAAUUUAUGAGGAUUAUUCAAUUGCAGAUGUUAGUAGUCCACAUGCCCAAACACCCCUCUCCAGUACCACUGAGCUAACUUCUGCAAAUACUACUGAAGCUGAGUAAUAUUUCCUGGCAUUUCUGUGUAUACUCGGGCUUUGUUUUCGUUGCAGUAGUUGAGCUUGAUGUUCAAAAUGAUAAAUUCUCCAGCAGCAAAUCUGUAUAAUAGUAGUUCUACAUUGAUUUGAUUCAUCCUCUGUAUAGUCCCUCGAUGAUCUACGUUGUACAGUUAGUAUAUACCGUUUGUCCUUGAAUUUCACAGUGUACUUGUUUUUUUCAUUCCAAUAAAUGGCGUCUUCAUGUGCUUCAAAAGUAAAGUACUAUAAUUUGUUCAACCUUUCAUGGAAUUUAUUUAUUUUGUGGAUGUGUAGUUAGCUGGAUGUCAAUUCUAUGAUCACUAUACUGCCAAAAUACAACUAUAUAUAUUUAAUAGCUUGAUGCCAAUUCUAUAAUCACUAUACAGCCAAAAUACAACUAUAUAUAUUUAAUAGGUCGAACCAUUACUUUUUAAGUAUGUAAACAAAAACUUGAAUAACUUUAAGCGUCUAUCGAUGUAUUUAACUAAUAACAAGCUUCUAAUUCUCUUAUGAAUUUUCAACAGACAAUUACACGAAUAGUCUUCUUUAAAAUGCUUUCCUUUCUUGAUUUCACAUAGAAGAAUUAGAGGCCCCACCACAACUCCUCCAAAAUAACAUUCACAAUAUCAUCAGUAAGUGGCUCCACAUUUUCCACUGGUUCUACAUCUUGCACAUGACCUCCCUAAAACCAAAAAAAUGGAAGUAAGAUAGAAUGAUUAUUUGAGAAAUUAACUCGAUCUUAGUAUCAGAGCGUGAUAUUAAGUUUAAGUUUGUGCAUUGAUAAUGCUAACUAAUAUCAUGUUAAGUAAUGAUAAGAAAAUUAUUUUAACAACAUAAUAUAAAUAAUUGUAGUAAUAGUAUAUAUAUAACUAACUAAAACCUUAUGUAGAUGUCAGAAAGAGAUCCCCUAUUUAAUGAGAUUAACGUGAUCUUUUGCUUCAAAAGGUCAAUAUAAUUCAUAAUUGCUUAACAUAAUCAUGUAAAUAAAUAAAUUAGAUUAUAGUUUGCUUUCUUUAAAUCAUUUAAAUGAGAUGACACACAAAUUACACUCUAAUAAUAAUAUUAAACCAAACAAAAUUCUUCUCACUACCAUACCACUUGUUAAUUAAUCCAUAAAAAAGAACCACCCACACGAGGGCAUAUUAAAUACAUUCAUAAGUAAAGAUUUAAGUUUAUAGACGAGAUGAUCAGAGGAGAGAAAUAAAGAUUAUACCAAACACAAGUCGAUAAAAGCAGCUACUAUGAAAUGCUGAUUCUUCAUAUUAUUAAUCUUCAAGAACCAAGUAAGCAACUCCUCCAUAAAUUCCCAAUCCACCAUAUCUCCCCUUUGUGCACCAUAAACUUUAGUCAUUUGCUCCAUUGAAUGCAAAAAAUCCAUUUUAGGAUUCUCAGUUUCCACAGCUAAGAGUAAACAAUCUUUGAAAGGGAAACCAACCAUGGAUAGAACUGAACAAGACUCGUUUUCUUCGAACGAUAACCUCCUUGUUGCCAAUGCUUGUUUUGCCAUCUCCAAUGCUUCAUCUGGACAACAACUUUCUGGGAAUGGACCAAACAUGUUAUCUACUAAACAUUGAUCAUAUUUUCUAGUCAUUUUUCUCUUCUUAUUCUUUUUCAAGAAGGAGAAACGUUUCCAUAAGGUAAAGUACUUCAUUCUUUUUUUUUACUAAGUACUCAACUUGUUACAUUUCUUCUUUUAAAUUAAAGGGCACUAGCUAUUUUAGUUACACAUUCAUUUAUAAUACUGCACCAACUCUUACAUAAAUGAAAUAAAUACUAUAUAAUAUAUAACUAAAGAGUGUGUAACGUAUUAAAAUGUUUUUCAAAUUUUGUGAUCUCAAACUUUAUAUUUGAAAUACUGUUAAAAUUAUAGAAUUAUCAAAUAUAAAAAUUAUUCUUUUUUAAGUAUGAAUAAAAUAAAAGAAGACAUGGAGUACUACAAAUUAAUUUAUUCACUUUUUAAGAAAGAACAAAUGAAAAAGAAAGUCUUCGAUCUUUUUAAUUAUAAGCUUCCCGUUAUGUGAGAAUCCACUAUUACAAACUAAUUAUAGCUAAUUACAACCAUAAAUAAAUUAACGACACUGUAUGACUUCUCUAAUAGUAAAAUUUCUAUUAAACGAUGCAUUAUUAUAUAUUAUUGGGAUAAUGCACAAGUACUCGUCAACCUAUGUCCGAAAUCUUAGACACACACUUAUAUUAUACUAAAGUUCUAUUACUCCUGAACUUAGUUUACUAAUAAUUUUUUAAUCCUUUUCGAUCUACGUGACAUUAUUUAUGUAGGUCCAACGCUGGUUGAUUUUUUUUAAGUUAGUGUCACGUAGACCGAAAAAGGAUAGAAAAUUACUUAUAAAAUAAGUUCAGAGAUAAUAAAACCUUAGUAUAGUACAAGUGUGUCUGACAUAAAUUGAAGAAUACUCGUACAUUUUCCCUAUAUUAUUUUAUCCAAUUAUCAGACAUUUCUAUUAUUUCGUAGUCAAUUUCCUCUUGCCUGUACUUGUCCCUAAUAAAAUGAUAAAUUUGUUAUUAAAAAAAAUUAGUCAAUUCCUAAUUGGUAUUUGAGGUUUUGCUAUUACUCGUAUUAAUUAAGCGUGAAUGUAGGUGAGGGAAGGUACUGAUUAUCUCAAAUAUUUUAUUGUUUUCUGGUUAGACUGUUAAACGUAAAUAAUAUUAUAAAUGGUGAACAGUUGUAAAUAUUAAAGUAAGUCUUUAAAUACCACAAAGAAAGUCCUGCUAAUAAAAUUUGUAAGUCUUCAAUAUGAUUUUUAAAAGUAUUUUACAUCAGUAAAAGUUUUGGAGCCAAUACUUUCUCUUUCUCGACAUGAUAAUUGAUAGUAUAUUUUAUUUGAAUCAAAAAUCUAUAAAAAAAUAAAAUAAUAUUUUUAUUUAUUUUAAAAAUAAACUCUACGAUAUAUCAUUCUUUUCACACUACAUUUUACAUUGAUAUGUUAUUGCUGAUGAUUCAGGUAAAUGCCAAUUUUCGAUUUAGAGACAAUGUCAUAAUUAAAAAAAAUUAUUAACGGGGUCUUGUAUAAUAUUUUAGCGUGGAUAAGUGGUUGGAGAUAUAAAACAUCAGUUGAAUGCUUUUUAUUACUUUUCUUAUAUCUAUCUAAUAAAUAAUAGCUAACACAAACAACUAGCUAGCUAGGUCUAAUUAACUAGGUCCAUGUUUGACUAUAACUACAUAUAUAAUUGGAUUGAUUUAUAUAUGUAGCUAGCCUAUGUACUGAUCAUUUGAAUUAAUUUGUUUCUCAUAUAUAAUUAAAAUUAGUAUUAAUUAAUCAAAUGAAAGGUUUAAGAGAUAAAUAUAGUAGCUUAGAUGGUAUUUUUAUGAUUACUAUAUAAUUACUCAAAAUGGAUAAUAUGGACCAAAAUAGUACUAAAAGCUUAAAUAUGUUAGCAGCUUUUAGAAAACAACUCAUUUAUGUUGGCCGUUAAAAAUUUGAUUUACCUACAUCAUUGUUGUUAAGAAAAAAUCUCAUUCAUGAUAUUUUUUUAACUUCGAUUUUGUAAAAUUAUUUUUUACGCUCCAGAUAAUAACAUUUUUCAAUUGAAGUUUUUGAAUCAAAUGUACACUUUUUGCUUCUUUUUCUUUAAGAACACAUGAAGAAUAUAAAUAACUCCCAUAUUUUUAACUUUUUCAAUUCUUCACGAAAUCAUCUCCAAUUUCGGCUACAUCAUUAAUUUCUUUUUUUUAAAAAAAAAAAUAAAAUUCUAAAAUCAUUUGUAGAGCUUAAAAAUUUACUCAUAUUUUAAAAAAAUUCCGUAAAACAAAAAUCAGUCCCAAAAUUUCAAAAUUUUGCUUUGAUUCAUCUUUUUUAGUUGUUUUUUUACAAUAGAUCUUUGUUUCAUAUUGUUAUUUUAGUUUACUUUCAAAGUUUUCAAAUGAUUUGAAGUUUUGGAGAAAGUUCUACUAUUAAAAAAUAUUAAAAUUUUGAAACUUUGAAGAUAUUUCAAGUGAGUCUAAUUUAGUUAGAUUGAAUUUGAGUUUGAAAGAUAUUGAGUUUUGAUAUCUAGGUAUGGAAAUAGUUACUUAUACAAAGCUUAACAACGAAUUAUUCAGUGAUAUUAGAUUUAAUUCAUUAAAUUAAAUUGGGACAUUAAAUAGGUGCCAAAACAUUUGAUAAAAAAGAGCCAGAUUGGCUUUUAGCUUACCACAGGACUUUCAUCAUACCAGUUUUUUUUAAAAAUCUCCAUCCUCUUAGCUUUGUUUGGACAUAGAUUUUGAGAAUAAAUAUUUACUCCCUUUGUCUCUUUUUAUAUGAUUUUUUUGUGUUUUGAAAUAUAAAUAAGUCUAUUUUGGAUUGUAAAUAUUUUAUAAAUUUGUUUAACAUUUUGAAUUAUCAAUUAUUGUGACUUAUAGUAUUCUUUAUGUAGUUUACAAAUAUAUAAGUUUCAUUUAAAAAAAUUAAAGAUUUCAUACGCAAAUUUCUGAAAAAUUAAACUGUUUGACUCUCGGAAAAUAAAAAAUGUCAUAUAAAAUGAGACAGAGUAAAAUAAAAGGUUUGAUCAUCAUAUUGGCCAAUUGGUGAAAAUCUAUCUCUAAAUCUUUUUCAAGUUUCACUCAUAAAUUUUCAUUUCUGCGAGUAAAAAUACAUGUAUAGAUACAACUUUAACUUCUAAAAAUUAUAUAUUCCAAUAAAUUUUUAAAAAUAUAUAUAUUUUUUAAAAUUUCAAUUAAAUCUAUGAUGACACAAACUUGAUUUUUCAUUUUGUGAAAAUUAAGGAAAUACAGAUUCAUCCAAAGUCACGGAAAUAAAAACUUGGAGCUUUCAUCGAUCGACUAUUCAAUUUAAAUUGGAUAUUAUUAUUACUCCACGUACAUGGAGUCAACACUUUCUUAGGUAAUUUGGGUUUUGAAUUUGUAUUGAGUCUAUACAUGUUACUUUGCUGUUUCGGUCUUGCAACAUUUUAUUUUAAUAAAAUAAUAAUAAGAAAAAGUGGACGAUAUAAAAUUUUAUUUUUGAAUUAUUGACAGGUUACAACAUCAAAAUGUAUUUACGUCUAGAGUCAAGUAAAUAGGUAUUCAAGGUUGUCAAUAGUUUCAAAGAUUAAAUUAAUAAUUUAAUAAUUAUUUUGAACCAAAUAAAUUAAAAUUAGAAUUGAGAAUCGGUGAGUUUGUAAUUAGCUUGAAAAUAUGAGUAUUUCCUCUUCUAUUAGCUAUUAUUAAAAUUAAAAGUCAUGAAAAACAAUAUUUUCAGCUUAAAAGAAUAAAUGAAAUAGCUUUUAUUUACUAAUAAUUAAUUAACUUCUAAUCCAUACAAGACGCCAGCAUGUCUUUCUGCUCCGUUAUUCACAAAAUAAAUAUCCCUCAUUUUCUGAAACGCAUGCCACGUCAGCAAGCUAUCUGAACCGGCCUGGUGACAUUUUCCGACCGCCCGGUCCACGGACAAUGUCUUCGCAAGCCGGUCUAAACCACCAUAAAGGCUAUUACAGAAUCUCAUCAAAUGCUUCAUAUCAUAAACUUUAUUUCCAAAAAACACCCUCACGACUUCCAUAAACUCCUCUAAUCCACCGGGGAGUUCCCGGCGCGUGAGUAUCUUCACCAGGUAACCGAAAUCAUACGCGCUGUGAAACGUAACCCAACUCACCGAUUCAUUACAAACCAAACCGGACGACAUCAUCAGUUCAGUGAACCGGGCUGAGUUGAUCCCGCAUUCCCGGUUCAUUUCAAAGUCGAUCCCCUGUCGGCGGAGUAACUCGAUGGAAUCCGGAGCGUAGAGAUCACGCUCCACAUCGAAAUCGGAGAAAUUGAACUGCCAUAUGUAGCCGCCUCCGUCAGAUCCUAAACCAGGUAGGUUACCUUCCGCGUCAGAUAAAGUUAACCCAAGCUGUAUGAGAUUCAACACAUCCACGUUAGACUUCAAGAGCUUAUACUGAUCGGAUGGGGGAUUGUAGGAAACGUUAGGCUUGAAAACAACCCCAGGAAACUCAGUAUCCAUAGAUAUGUAAGGGUAGUUAUCAAUCACAGUUGAAAUAAGUUGAAAUUCUGGUUCGAGAUUAUGAGCCCAUACUUGUCGAAUUUUAAUAGCCAUUAUGGGUAUUGAAAGUAUGAAAGAAGGAAACUGAAUUGUUUGUUGGUGAGUGUGAGGGUAUUUUAUUUUUAUUUUAUAGAAAUAGAAAGAAGAGAGGCAAGUGGUGGGGGGAGUUGAGUGGUUUUGCAGAGUGAAAAGGGAAGGAGAAAGGAAAGAGAAUGGAAUGCGUGGGUACACAGAAAUAGGGCAAGUUUUUAGUCCACGUUCAACGCGUUUGAGUUGUUUCAUUUGACUCAUAAACAAAUUAGAGUGAUGAUUAUACAUAAUCUAUUUCAUUAUAUGGUCUCGUUUUUUAUGUUUUUUUUUAAAUACACUUAAAUAUAUUCUCAUUACUAAUCCCUUCAGUUAAAUAUAUUAAGAGAAUUUCUUUCUCUCAUUCCAAGUUGUAAAGUAAUACGGGUUUGUCAUUUCAUAAAAUUUAUGUAUAAAUUAUGCUAAUAUUUUUUUAUUUUAUCGCUUGAAAGUAUAAAUUAUUCAAUAUAAUAAAAUUAAGUAAUUUUAGUUUAUUUUUAUCUAUUAAAUUAGUUAAUCAAAGUAAAAUUCAAAAUGUUGACAACUGCAUAAAAAAAAAGGGAGAGAACUUUUUCAAAAAAAUACUUCUACUUCAUUUUCAAAUAAGGAAUAAAAUUGAAAGAAUUUUCUAAAAAUAGUCUUGAAUACUGAAUAAUUAAGUUAAUUUAAAAAAUACAAAAUGCUUUAAAAAUUUAAUUGAUAUGAAAUGGUGAGAGUAAAAUUUUCUGACAAUCUUUUUAAAAGGAGCUGUCAAAUUAACAAAGGAUAGGUACAAUUAAACGGAAAAAAUAAUAUUUUAUUAAAAAAGACAAAAAUUUUAUAUCGACAAUUAGUGAGAUGAAUAUACUCCUUAUAAAGCUUGAGAAAUUUAUUUCAUUUGAACUAACUUUUAAAGUGUAAGUUAGACCUAAGACCUGACUCUUUUUAACAUAUUUAAAACCUUGUAUUUGACAUUGCUUUAGUUCACAUACAAAAUAUUUUAACAUAUUUGAAACCUUGUAAUUGACAUUGGUCUAGUUCACAUACAAAAUAUUUUACUCAUGAAUUAUUUGAAAUAAAAAUAAUUAUCUUUCGUCAACAUUAUCUCCACAAAUGUCAUUUUUAUAUUAAGUAACGAAAAUUACGUCAUCUUUGCUUAAAAACCAAUCAAUUCUUGACUAUUCUUUAUCACCCAAUUAUUAACACAUUUAAAAUAUAUUAUUUGACAAAAUGUUAACAGAAAAUACAAUGAAUAUGAAAAUGCUGGAAGUGAGCUAAGCAAAUGAACUAAUUUUGUUUUUUCUUCUAUUUUGGGGUUUCUGAAUCAGUGGAUUUUGGUAGUUUCAGAAUUGUGACAUCUGCUUGGCGGUGCACGUGUAAAUAACUAAAUUAAUCAUCACAUGAUUGACAAAUUAAAAUAACGUAAACUUGUUUAAUUUUAAAUAUCAACAAAAUAAUUUAUUAUUUUAUAUUCAUUCUUAAUUACAUAAUUCGAUAAAAAAGAAAAAAAGACAUAUUUUUUUUUUGCAGUAAAGAAAGAUAUAAAAUUAUUGAAUGUUAAUUAGCUUUUUUCUUCGUUUAAACAAAACGUACCGUCAAAAGCAAUUAAAAUGUAAUUAUCAGCAAUUUGUGGAGAUUUCUUUCACAUUUUUAAUUUUUACGAAUUCAAUAUUUUAUAAUAUGUAAAUAAUAAGAUAGUGGGGGGUUUAAUCAUUGAUUUAAUUUUAUAAAAUCUUAUUUAAUUAAAAACGUGAUAAAGGAGGACAUUCAGCAUUUUCGUGCCAGUCAAAUAUAUAUUGAUGCAGUGGCCUCCUUAGAAUACUCUUUCUAUGGCAUCUCUUUAAUUAUUAUUAUUAUAUACCAGUAGAAAUAAAACUAGUGGUGCUACACUAACUAAUAUUCUAAAAGUAAAGUAGUUUGACAAUUUUUAAAAAAUAAAAAUAAUUUUUAAAUUUUGUGAUCAUAAAUUAAUAUAUAUUGAAUGUAUUAAAAUAUUUUUUAAUUUUAAUAUUUUAAAUAUGUCGCGUCAGAAAAAAUUGAAAUAAAAUAUUAUUUAUCAAAUUAAAGAUAUUUUUUUAAAAAAUACUUUUAAAAGGAAAUAAAAUAGAAUAGGGAAAAGACUCAAAUAUGCUAUUCAAUUUUCAGAAUAGACUCAUUUAUGUCAUCAGUUAAAAGUUUGACUCAUUUAUGUCAUUAUCGUUAAAAAAAACUCAUUUAUGUCAUUAUUUUUUAACGAUGAUUUUGCAAAACCAUUUUUUAGACGUGAUUAAUUAUAAUUCGGUCUAGUUAUUAAUUUAUUUAAUUACAAAAAUAAAAAAAUAAUUCUUUUUUCAGUGCAAAAUAUAAAAAAUUAAUUAGUAUUACUUAAGUUGUACACUGUAUUAUUACCUUCCUCAUUUGACCCUGCUUUUACAUAUAUGUUGACUUGACUAGUCUCUUUAGACUUAUUUUAGUCAACCACGUAUACUCCUGUAGUGUAAAGACCGAGUAAAAACUAUAGGUUAUGAUAAUGUGGGACAAUUAUAUUAUCCAUUUACAUUAUUGUAUAGGUUCGAUGGAGGGUAUUGGGGGUCCCAAUAAACAUGAUUUUCAAAUCAUGUAUCAUGUAUGAAUUGAAUUUUUCCACUUAAUUGAUAAACUUGUAAAAAAAUGAAAUAAAUUUAACUUGCUAUAUAUAAAUUACUUAUUAAAUAACGACUCUAAAAAGCAAAUAUUUCAAUUUUCAGCAUCUUGCUCCUUAGUGGCUGCAAUUUAGGCCCAAGAUCCUUAUUUUGAUCUGCAGCCCAUUUACUUCUCAAUCUAGUUAUGGGCCCAAUGGUUAGGCUCAACAUUUCUAUUUGAUCCAACAUGUAUAUGGAGAUUAUACCAUAAUAAAACAUUUAAAAGAUUAAAAUAACCUAGUUUUUAGAUUUUUUUACUUAUUUUAAAGAUAUGGUAAGAUUAUAAACUUUUAUAAGUACAUAGUGUAUCUUACUUUUACAUUUUUGUUUGAAAAUAAAAAAAAUCAUAAAAUCAAUUGUAUUUAGUGCAAAACUACCAUCCAUCCAUUUUUGAGCCAAAAAGGUUGACGCGAACUUUGUACUGUGCACAUUACUUAGACGGGUUCUAGAAAGGCAUAUAGAAAGGAAUGGAGAAAUCGAGAAUAAAGAAAUUUAAUAAGAAAGAAAAGCCAAAGAAAUGAGAUAAUAUCGAAUUAUAUUUCUUUGGAUCUGAGUUGAAUCUUGUCUAUUUCAACACCCCUAGAUUCGGAUUCUACUUUUAAGUCUUUCCACAAUUAACUAAUUUUACCUUUCUAAUAUGUAUUACGUCUUUCUAAUAUGUAUUACGUAUUCAAAUUCGUUUGAACAAGAGGAGAAAAAAAGAGGAGAUAGAAUCCAAUUCUUUUAGAUACUUUAUCUAAGAAACUCUACCCAUCUAUGUUCUAGAUGGGGUAUAUCUCGCUAAACUGGAUAAAGCUAUUAUUCUAAUCUAGACUAUAAAAAAAUAUGUAUGUGGAUUCAUAUCAAUUAAUUAGAAAUUCAUUCUAGGGAAGAGAGACCCAUAAAAAUUAAUCA